rnacentral:lncRNA from 1 species
AGGUACUGCUGAAGCUGGCCCGCAGUGCAUGUACCAGCUUAAUCCUUACUAUCAUAGUAGGUGCGAGACAAAUGAUGACAACGACAAUUGUCGAAGUGCUUGUAAAAAAUUUGAGGCACCAAAGUACAUGGGUGGUAUGUGCCAUGAUGAACAAUGCGUCUGUUAUACCUGUUAAUGAUCAUCGGACUCUUCCACCGCUGGGGUAGCCAUUAAGAUACAUCCACUUGUCCCUUGGUGGACACCACCAUAGAAAGAUUUGAGCUCCAAGGAAGAUUGUCUUUUUGGUGUAACAGAAUAAAUUGGCAAUGUAUCGAACUAUGAUUUAGCAAGUUUUUUUUCCCGAUGAGUUACAUCGAAGAGUUUCCAAUUGAUUUAUAAUUUUCGUCUAAUAUCUUGUAGGCAAACACCCCUUAAGACCUUAUUCUACUACCACUUGAUAGAGGCAAAGGUGUCCCGAUGUUUCGAUGAGAUGGAGGCCAUCGUUUUCUGUGGGAUUCGACCUUGACGAUCCGACUACGAACGUGCGAGACGUCAUGCCUUAGCAAUCGCUAAACCAACUUCCGAGGGUUAUUGACCACGCCGGAGCACGAUCAACCUGACUUCGAAGGUCUGUUUCCUGCGAGCAAAUGAAGAACAAGCAAGCAACUAAGAUUGCAAUCUGGAUAUUGCGAAUAUAAGAGGAAAGCUUUAUACUCCUAACAGUAGACCCCGAAACGACCCGAACACAGCAAAAAAACUAAAAGGAAAAAAAACCCACCCACCCUCCCGGCCGCGCCCACAAGGCCACGACUCGAUCUGCUUGUCUUCCUCCGCGCCCCACCACCUGACCCGCGCCGUUGCAUGCCCCUCGCACGCACACCUACCAGUGCCGGAUCAGGCCACCACGGGCUCCACUACAAAAAAAAUACACUUCCGUGAUGAUACGUGUUUGUCACAGUAGGUCGCAUUUUUGUCAUGCAUGUACAUCCAUGACAAAUUUAUGACAGAAUCAAGAUAGUCAAACCUGUGCUGUCGUAGAAGUGUUCCAUGACAUUACCAAAAUUAUCAUCACGGAAGUGUCCACUUCCAUGACGAUAAAUCACGCGUCACAGAAGUGCUUACCGACACGUGGCAUCCACCAUAACGGAAUACCGUUAAGCUAUCGGGUCGGGUUUUGGAUCCGAUAACCUGUUAACAGCCCCGACCAAUGGGGAUUUUCCAUGUGUAAAAUCAUCAUUGGCUGGAGGAAACACGUGUCGUCUCAUCGCUGGGACAGAUGUCAUCCACUCAUUGGACAGAAGGCGCCUAUGAUACGUCGACACAUGGCACGGCCCAACAGAGGCCCAUUCUUGUGAAAAGGCCGGCCCGUUUGACUUGGUCAAAAGCUGGCGGGCCGGCCCAUGUAAAGCCUGUUAACGGCCUAUUCGCAUAUAGCCCAUUUACAGCCCGCUACCCAAGGCCCGUUACGCCCUAUUCGAAUUAGGCCCAGUAGCGUCAUCUGGGCCACCCAAUAUGAUUCCAGCCCGUUUUCACUUAUGGCCCAUGUAUGGCCCAUGACGUCUUUCGGCCCAUAUGAGGCCCUAUGUAACUCUUGGCCUAUUAACGGCCCGUGGUGAAACUGGCCCGUAAUGAACAGUGUAUCACUUUACACCCAUUAACGGCCCGUGGUGAAACUGGCCCGUAAUGAACAGUGUAUCACUUUAUACCCAUUAACGGCCUGUUAUUCCGUUGGGCCGUUUCCAGCCCAUGUUAUCUUUCGGCCUUCUCAGAGCCAUUUAUUCUUGGGCUCAUUUCCAGCAUUCGUUUACUUAUGGCCCGUUACUGUCAUUUUCUGCUUGUGCCCAAAUUCAGCCCGUGGUUACAGUCGCGCCCAUUUGUGGUCCGUUAAUACGUUGGGCCGUUUUCAUAGCAUCAUCAAAUACGGCCUAUUAACGAUGGCCCGUUAUGGUCGGCCCAUGAACGGACGAUUCCAACUCUAGCCCGUUUACGACCAUAAUGCGGCAUGUUAUUGGCCCAUGUUUGGCCAAUCGAUCAUACUGCCCGUAUAAGGCCCAUUGAUGAUACGGCCCAUAGAAGGCACAUUGUUUCUACGGCCCAUAGAAGGCCCACUGUUUCUACGGCCCGUAGAAGGCCCACUGUUUCUACGGCCCAUAGAAGGCCCACUGUUUCUACGGCCCGUAGAAGGCCCACUGUUUCUUCGGCCCAUAGGAGGCCCAGUGUCACUACAGUAAAUAUUAGCCCAUGGUUAUUGUGGCCUAGUUUUAAAAAAUAGGUUAUUGCAGCCACUAGCACACCGCGGAAAAAGAACUGCAAUGACUACAAGCAAACAAAUAAACAAGACAACAAGGAAAUAAAUAAGCAAGCAACUUACGCUAGGCUAUCACGGCUAUCACACAUAUUAUAUCCACUGGGCAUCAAAGUUCGCCACCAGUGCAAAUAAACGCGCCGACAAAAGAAUAUACAAAACUGAGAGCACUUCAUAAGGCACUAGGCCUGGCCACGUCGGGCCCCCCAAACAGCUGAAGAAGUUGAGUAGACCUCAGUUGUGUCACCGAUAGAUGCAUCAACACUAGAUUUAAGGCAUGAUGGUGCGCACGGCAGUCCUCUGACAUCUUCAUUGCAUCUUUGACUUCAAGUCGGCACUGAGCUGAAGCAAGCCUUUCCACUUUAAGUUGACACUGAAGAAGUCAAACUGAUUGAGGCAGCGACUGCACAGAGGUUGUCUCACACCUGCUGGUGAGUAGCUUCAACUCACUGUCUUCACCAAGACAGGACCUUGGGGUCAUCUCGCUGUCCUCCAGAUGGUUUGGCUCACUAUCUUCCCUAAAGUUCUGCCUAGCGUAAGAGAUACGAGUCUGGAAGAGAAACAAGGAGACACGUAACAGGUUGCACAAUUAUAUAAGCAAAUAAAUGGAUCUGUUCUGCAUAAGGAACAUGUUUUUACAUCUACAAUUUGAAACUAGUAGUUGUUGCAAACAUCCAAUCAGAUGUAAACAGCAAAGCAAACAGCAGUGGAGGAAAUGAUGCCUAUCCAAAUCUAUACUAGAACAAAGUAUGAAGGCUUGAGAAGGAUGAACUUACAUUACAUGUUAACACGGGCUGGACAAAGCCCUUCUCCAUGUUGAUGGAAGGAUAAUUCAAUAAAUUCCCCAAAGAAAAUUCUUUAUAAGCGUUGCCAUUAUUCUACAUUUUGCAAAGAGUAAAUAUAGAUCAAAUAAUAUUGGAAGAAAUAGAGGAUAAUGAAGCUCAGGUGCAGACUGAUGAUACAUAAUCAAAUAGCAAUUAAUUAAGUACAGCAUUACAAGGCAAAAGGGAGAGAGGUACUGACAAGAGCAAUGCAGAGCACAUUAUUGUUUUGAGAUUGUAUGAUCCUUUGAGCAAGGAGAUUCAUCUGAAAUUAGUUUUCAUACGAGAGAGAAGGUAAGGCACAAGCAGAAAUUUAGGAGUUCAAAUUUUGAAUUGAUAUCAUAGACAGUACCUGACGCUGGGCUCCCAGCAGUUCUAAUAGGGGUUUGGCCACUGGAGUAGGGGUAAGGUGUGGUACAGUUGGGCCUGUGUUUUCUGUGGCUGCUGAUCUAUCUGAUUUAACAGGUAUCACUACCUUUUCCAAAUACCUAGUUUGUACUCCUUGAGGAUCUGCACUCACCCUCUUCCUUUUGGACAUCUAUUACGAAAGAACAACAUUUGACUGGAAAAACAUAGUGUGACGACACAUGGAAUAGGUACAGAAAAUGGAUAGGUAUGGCAUAUACUCAUAUAUGAUGCUUAAACUAAGCAGAUGGUGUAACAAAGUAGAAGUAACGCAAGAGGUCAGAUGCAAAAUAUGUGCGACCAAUACAACUUUGCAAAGUUAGAACAAGCACCUUGAUGGGUGAAUAAGAUAGGCCAUCCUCCACCAUGCCAAGUUUGUUAGCCAGUGGAUCGUUCCGCAAUAUUCCUCUCGUGCGCCCAUUCUCAUAUUCAUUUUGAUAAUGUUCAAUAUCUGACAUGCAUGAAAACAUAAAAACAAGUGAGAUUUUCUCUGUAUUGCAGAAGUGAUUCUAAUCCAAUACUGCCUCCCUGUAAACCCCUUUGUGCUAUCUCUGCAAUUCUUUUAAAAGAUGCCAUGCAUGCUGUAAUUUGUUGUGUGCAUUAAUAUAAUGUGGCCUACUACUCAAACUAUGAGAGCUCCAGAAGUGAUGACACUUCGCAGAUGAUAGCUUCAACAUAUAGUAAAGAAGAACAAGUCAACCUGACCUGACAGAUUCAAAAUAUACUAAGGGAGAACAACUCGACCUGACCAGUCGACCGCAAGAGAAGAGUAUCAUCUUAAAGAAGAGCAGAAGAGCAAGCAGAUUGUAGAUAUUACAAGUCUUUCAAUACAAUGUCGGUUGGCCACCCAUGAUGAACCAGAGCGCACAGAGAAAUAUUAUUCUUUCCGGUCUCUCAUAUGUGGCUCACAUGCAUUUCAAAACUAAAGUAGGAACAUUUAGCUAACCAAUUAAACAUCUCUCAGUUUUACUAAUAUCAGCAAUAAUAUCAGAUAUGAAUUUGUACAACUAAGCUUGUUUAGCUCGAUGGGUGGAGCAGUGCUAUUACGACACGAACCACGUAGGCUGAUUGUGGUCAUCAUAAAAUGGGGAAAACAUAAGAAUGAUGAGUACAGUGUUGACCGUGGCAGUGGGAUGGCAGCUCUAAAGCUGCAAACUGCGCAAAGGGUAGUUAGCAACUGAUGUUUGCUUUGAAAUAACAACUAAGAUUUGGUAUGGACAAGAAAGUACGGUCAACAAGUGACAAAGAAAUGCAAUUAUGCUGUCUCUCUAUAUGUCGCGACAUGCAUUUGGAAACUCAAGUGGGACCUUUAGCUAACCAAUUAAAUGUGUCGGUUAACUAAUAUCAGUAUCAUAUCACAAUCAUAUUUGAACAACUAACCUUUCGAAUUCUGAGUGUUGUGUUAUUUAGCUUGAAGGGUGGAGUAAUGCUAGUACGACAGAAAGCACCUACGCAGAUCAUAGUAGAGUAGAUAAACGGGAAAACCCUAAGCAUCAAGAGAAAAAUCGGGGAAGUGGAACUAUUAGGACUAGUGGGUGGCGCACAUGCUUUUCGAAACGAAUAUAGGAACAUUAGGUGACCAAUUAAACGUUCUCUGUUUUAGUGAUAUGAGCAUCAUAUCAGAUUCGUAUUUCAACACGUAAGCUUUGGGUUGAGGUCUUGAGGAGCAGUGCUAGCAUGAAACGAAGCACCUACGAUGAUGGUAGUGAAUAUAAAGGGGGAAACCAUAAGCUUUACGAGUAUAGUGCCCGUUCCAUGGCGGAUCUGAAGAUGCAAACCGGACAAAGCUACUUCGCAACCAAUGUUUGCUUUCAACUAGCAACUACAAUUUGGUACGGACAAGAAAAGUAUAGUAAACAAAUUACGAUCUAUUUUCCGGGUGAGAUCAAUAACUUAAGCACAUAUGGAAGAGUACCACCUCUCUUGCGACGCCGUGUAGGCCUAUGCUGAUACGUUGAGGGUGCUGCGGGUGCGAUGGCCGUCGGCGGUGGGGAAGAAGACUUUAGACGGCAGACGGCCAGGUCGGGGGAUAUAUCCUGUUGCCGUGGAUGAGGCGGUUGUAGGAGCGGCAACGGCAAGGUGGACGACGGCGCCGAUGAAGCGAGAGGAGGCGAUGAAAGGAUCCUGGUCCAGCGCCGUGGAUGAGAGACGUCCAUCUCUUGUAGUGGACGACGGGGUAGGGUAGCGGCUCCGGCAAGGUGGAGGAUGGGGUGGCGGACGGAGGAGGCUGGCCGCAGUGCGGAGGUUGUCGUGCCGCCGAUGGUGUAUGAAUGGGGAAAUGGAGGGGGGGAUCUCAAACUUUGGGACGCGCUUCUCUGAAAUGGGGAAAGUUACGAACUUAUCCCCCGUUUAAAAUUUCGGACAUCGUGUCGGUUGGGGAUAGGACGGUAAUCUCGCAUCUCCCAAAUAUUUGUCGGUAACUAUUUCGGGCGAGGAGAGGGUGUUUUGCCGCCCACGGUUGGCGCCCACGGUGUAUGAACGGGGCUGACAGGUAGGGCGGUUGUGUCACGUCUGAUGGAAGUUACACAUCUGCCCCUAUUUAAAAUAUUAGCCUACAUCGAUUUCGGACGAGGAGAGUUUGUUUUGCCGCCCACCUUGUAUGAAUGGGGAAAUGGAGGAAGAGAUACAUGUCUUUCGGACGAGCUUGAAUCAAAUGUGUUUUGCCACACACGUUUGGCGCCCACCGUGUCUGAAUGGGCUCAGAGGCCGUCAUGUCACGUCUGAUUGAAGUUACUAGUCUACCCCUAUCGAUAGCAGUGUAAAUCCGGUCGAUAAGGAUGUCAAGUGUCAGGGGUAGAUAGUAAUUUCCAUCUCGCAAACACUUGCUUCGGGCAGCCCACAAAUUAUAGUGGGUGUUUAGCCGCUUCGUUCAAAACUUGGGUGAAUUAGCAUUCACGUUUUCCCUGGGACCUGGCAAACUAAAUUCAAAUCCAAUUUGUAUUCGAUUACGAAUAUCCACAGAUAAUUAUACGUUUUGUUAUUUAUUUCUUCAAAACCACAACAAAGAUUUAUUCCACCUUUAUAUAUGAUUAUGAUUUAGAAAUGCCGUGAUCUUCGAAUUCAGUAGGUUGGAUACACUCUGAGUCAAACAGUUAUUUCAUCCAAUACAAUAUGCUCACACAAAAAACAGUUCACCUUAUGUCAAUCAUACAAGUACUGAGGAUUACCUCGCCUAAAAAAUUCGGAUCAUUACAACACAUGGACAACAUAGGGGGUCUUGCAACAUAAUCCAUUCAGAGACAUGACACAACAUGCAAGUACAAUAAUCUAAUGAGAAUUUCAACUGGUAUCUAAAGAAGAACCGGGAUUACCUUGGGUUUCAGAUAGCAGAAACAGCAGGACCUCCUCCGUCUUCAAAUGCAACAUUCAUACUUCCUCCAAUUCUUGGGUUGCUUGCAUAAUGCGUGCUGCUAAUUCCGUAAUUUCCAGCCUCAAGAUAAAAUUACCUCAUUCAUGGCAGCCACACCAUCUCUUUCUGCCUCUAGUAGAGCCUCAAGCACUAUAAUAUCUGUGCUCAGACUGCUCUCCGGCGGUGUUGCCUCUGAACUGCUACCAUCUGGUAACAUGGAUGGCGCACUGCUUCCACAAAUAGAUUCUGGGGUUGUACAUUGUAUCCUAGUGUGAACGGCAUCCUGGAAGGUUUCCGCUUGACAUCAUUAAGAGAUAGUUAUCGUAUGAUCCAGGCAUUAAGCUUACAUGGUAAACGACGGAUGAAUUAUUGCCGAGCAUGGCAAACUAUAUUUAAAUGGUUCGAAGCAGCAUCAGCCGAAAAGAAAUUAAAAUGGUAAGAUGAAACUAGGGAUGUAAGUGGCAAAUAAACGACAUCCGCCAGUCCCAUCUAGUUAGAUUUUGCUACCUCCCUAGUUCAUUUUCCUCAAAAAACAAAAACUCUUUUGAACUAUCAUACCACUAGUGGACUUUAAUCGGGAUUAAACGGGACCCAAUUGACAUCCCUAGUUGAAAGGGAGUGUACAACCUCUAUAUUUAAGUUGCCAAGGCAUCUAAGCAGUUGAAAUAAUCUGAGAAAGCACUUAACAGUGUGGCCUCAUAUAAACUACGAAGACAGUCUUGUGAUAAAGUUGAGAGGAAAAGUUAAGGACUCAAAUGAAAUAGGCAUGCAUUUCUUUACGAUAGUACAGUAGGCACUGCUGACAUAUUGCCAACUCAGGUAUAGCGUAACAACAAAUAAGCACUCGAAUCAAGCAAUACAGCAAAGCAGACAACUGAACUAUUUGUAAUUCGGUAGGAUUACACGUUGAGGGCACAAGCCAAGAAAGCAUCCCACUCGCAUUACAUUUCACAUGUACUAAAACACACUGGCUUACCAUAUGUUGCUGUGAAGCCUAGCUGCUGUUGCAAUGUUCUUUGAAGAUAUCGUCAGCAUCCCGUGGUUGCAAAUCUAGUUGUAGUUUAUUCUACACCAUCUAUUUAGGUAAAAUUAAUUUUAAUCGCAUGCACUGGUCCGAAUUGAUCAUCAAUGGUUCAUCUAAACUUAUGAAAGAAGGGUGUGUGCAUACACGACAAUAUAUCUGCUUCCCUCUAUUUUUAUGCUAGUUCGAGGUGCCAGCCCCAAAAGAACAAAUAUUUUGCUUGAUGGGGUUGGCAGCUCCAUAAUUAAUAGAAGCAUCAAAUUAGUCAUGCAACUUGGGAAGAUCAAGAACACACAAACAAGUAAUGAACAGAGGCUCGGAGCAGUGAUGUAAUAGCUAGCAUCAGAAAAUGUAGGGUAAACCAAACAAAAAGCAGCGGAACCACAUGCUUGUUUGCUGAUGUGUAAUUAAGCAUAGAGAACAUUAAGCAGUCUGAUGGAACCAACAGGUGGCAUCAGAACAAAACUAAAGCAUAUUAACUAUAUGUGCACUGGUAUGUAAUUUAGCACAUGUAACAUGUUCACUGCCAGAAGUAUGGCCCUACAGGUGCAAGCAGAAUAACGCGUCUCAUGAAAAACUGAAUGAUGCCCUGAAGAAAUUCAAAGGUGCGGUGCUUAUUCUAGGAAAGUGAACAUAGGCGCCGACCUGAUUCUCGGCGGCGUAUGGGUAUCAUUGUCAUACUUGAUAGCUAAGGAUCGUCGAUGGUGCUCGUGUUGCGGUUGAGUUUGGGCCGGCUGUCGCCGUCGCUGAAGCGGCUCUGGUGCUACGGUUGCGGCGCCUGUCGACAUACAAGAAAGCUCAUCUAUGGUAAGUGAACAGUUGCGCGAUAAAGAGAAAAACCGAAGGAGUACAAAUCGAAAUAACCUGAUGAGGCUGCGGCGUCGGUAAAGCAGGGCCGGUGGAGUUGAAUAUGGCGUCCGUGGAGUGGGUCCGGUGAAGUGGACGAAGGCUUCGGCGGGUGCACUGUAUAGUGCUUUCGGUGAGGCGGAUCUGUUGCAGCGGACGAGGGCUUGUAUGAAGGGCCAGCGAAGGGGCAGACGAGGGAGUCAGUGAAGGGCCUACGCUGUGGUGGACAAGGGCGUCGGUUAAGCAGAUCCAGUGCGGUGGACCAUGAUGGCGGUCAAGGAGAUCUGGAGCGGUGGACAAGCCAGUCGCUGAAGCGGCUCCGGUGAAGUGGUGAGUUGGCAGUUGGGGUUUCCAAGGUGCGGAAGGUAGAUCCGGCGGGGUGUGAGGUCCACCGCUGCGGCGGAGGACUAGAUUCGGCGGCUUGCCGUGGUUGGGGUCGGGGAGGGGAAGGGGAGGGGCUCUGGGGAAGAAUGUUGGGGGCAAAGAGGGGGAAACAAUGGAGUUACCAAAGCAGCCCUUUUCCGUUCAUGUGGCAGGGGUAAAACAGGAAUAUCACAGGGCCAAACUUUCGGGCGCGUGAUAUUUCAAUGUGAGCGAGAAGUUUGAAAGCUUUUGGCGCCUAAAAUUAUAAGUAUCCUGCUCUCGUACGGCCGACUAUGAUGUCAUGGCCGACAAUUUGUUUGUUUUGCACGCAAAAAAAAUGUGCAAGUUUUGAAAAUCAAUGUCUCCAACUCGAAACUUAGAUUGUCCAUUCAAUUCAAAUAUGGAUCAUUGAGCUACUACAAGCAAAUACCAUCAUACGGUCCAAUUCAAAUGAAAUUCCAAAUGUGUUUAUCCUAAAUAUGAUGACAAAAGCAAAAAUGUGUAUGUGUAUGAAUAAAGUGGAUGAUUAUAAAGUUUGAACAUGCCCGUAUGUCUAUAUCUCUAGGUUUGAUAUAUGAAUUUGAAGUCACGAAAUCCCGGCUUAAAAAUGUACCUCCGUUUAAAUGAAUUACAAAAGCUAAUGAUGGAGUCGAAUUCCAAAAUUCAAAUCUUAGGUUUGUAAUUCUGGUACAUCAAGGUAUAUCACGCAUGUUCAAAAGUAUCGUUAUCUCAUAGUACAAACUGUGAAACAAAUUGAUCAGCCAUGAGUGCACAGUAUCUCAAUUACGCUAAAGUCCUUGAAAUAUAGACACCUCACUCUUUAUCUGAAGUCAACCCCCCCCCCACCACCACACACACACACACACAUAGAGAAGUCGUUCUCUCCCCCAAACACCAACACACGAGCACAUUAACACCCCUCUCUCUUGUAAAGUCCGGACCCCAACAUUGGUCUCUAUCACUUUGUCUCUCGGAGUCUCGGGCAUGCACACAUCUCUUCCCUCACCUCUAGGUCUCCUACUAUCUCUCUUACCCAAGCACAUGCACUAUGUAGAGUGUAUAUUUCCCAUACACACAAAACGUCGCCCCCAAAUGUCUAUCUCCCUAGUUAUGUGGUUCUCGCGCACUCACCUCACACACCACCCCCACUGCAAACAAACACACUUUGUCUCCUUGUGCACCACUCUCCUCUUUCUAUCUCUCCCACAUGUGGACCCGCCCCAGCUCCUUCCUUGUAUACAUAUAUGUCGUGACUCUUUGCAUAGCUCCCUAAUGUAUAAUCGUUCUCGAUUUCGCACAUUGUUCUCUACACAUCUAUUCUAGAUCUCUCAUGAAGUCCCUAUCACACACACGAUGACUCGCUUCCCUUGCGUCUCCGUUCAUAGGCCAAUUUCGGACAACAUCAACAUUGUCUCCCUAUCUAUACGCCAUUUAUGGACACAAACGACCCCUCUUGCCCCCCCUCUUCUCUCUCUCUCUCUCUCCGUCGCUAGCUCUCUCUUUCUCUCCUCUCACACCCCUCUCCCACACACACACUCGAUGUCUCUUCCAGAUAGUCUGCUCCCCCCGCCCGCACCCGUGCUAUCUCGCUACUACACAUGUCACACCAUUCCCCCUUCCCUUAUACUAGGUUUACAUCAUCAGUGGUCUCUCUACUCCACAUACACUCUCUCCCUCUCACACACAAACGCGUGCACAAACACACACAAACACACACAAACACCGAUUUAUCUGGAUCCUCAUCUCUCCUCAUGUCCGCAUGUGUAUCUCACACACUCACUCUCUAAUUAUGUAUAUGUGUCUCCACGUUACACAACACAAAGCCCCAUGUACAUGUCUCUCUCUAUCCUCCACACACAUAGACACAAAGAAUCUGUUAUCAUUGCCUCAGUCUCAAACAUAUCACACACGCACACUGUCUCUCUCUCUCUCGCAAACACGCUUAACAAGGGUUUCCCCGUGAAUAACUUACCGUCUAUUCAUCAACAGACGUGGCAGUACGGCGAACACGAGACGUGAAAAAGAAUAAAUCUACAUGUGCUUAGACCACCUAGUAUGACUACUAGGACUAGAGCAAGCCAAAAAGCGCACCGCCGUCACCCCCUCCUUGUCGGCGACGGGAAAAUCUUUGUUUUACACAGUCGAGAAGUCAUUGUGCUAAGGCCCCAUAUGCCGAGGCGUUGAAUAGAAUGUAGAUGCUAGUUUACGGAAGCAAGUAUCGAUAAUACGUUUGUAUCUCCAUACUUAUAUUUCUUCUUUUAUAAAAAACCAAGUUGGUGAUGAUGGUACGUGUGCCAUCUUGCAAUAUAGACCGUCCGAUCUAUAUCUGACGGAUGGAAAUUAAACUAAAAGAUACCUGCACCCCUCUCCACAUUUGCAGACAAGGCCUUCCCUCGUUCAUCCUUAUCUCCAACAAACCUCAUUGUUGAGCAAUUAAGAAAGGAAGCCUCUGGAACAAACUGGCCUGGUGGCCGCUGCCGGCAUCGUCAAUCCCCAUGCCUCCGCUCAGUCCGACCACCAACCACCACCACACCCCACUCCUCUUCACCUUAUCUCAGAUUUCUCGAGAUAUCAUUAGUUUUUACACAUGGGAUUACUCCCGCAAGGGUCAAUCACAACAAGUGUUUUAUAAAAAAAUGCAUCUUGAUGUUCUGUGCAAUGCAAGGAUCUUGCUAGUACUCCUACACAAGACUAUGUUGGUGAUGCUGGUGUGUCUGCCAUCCGUCGUUUCUGACCAUUAGAUCUACAUCUAACGAUUUGAGGUAAGUUGUUGCCUUUUCUCACCAACAUCCCACUUGUCUACCAAUUUGCAGAAAAACCCAUAAUUAGUAUCUUAAAACCAACCACAUCCCUCCCUGGCCUCACCAGAACAGCCCAAGGAAUAUAUUCUAAUUGAAACAUAAUAUAUCUCUAGUGACAUAUGUAUAUCAAAAUUAGAGUGUUUUUUACCAAGUUUGUGAAUAAGUAUUAUUCUAAUUAUGAUUCGUUGCAACAGACAUGAACAUUGCUAGUAUUUCCAACCAUGCAUUUUUUUCCUAGUAUUCCAUAGUUUCGAGUUUUCCAUCAAGAUAUUAGUCACUCAUGGUUGAUAUUUACUUUCAAUCAUGUACACAUAUGCACUAUGUAACUAGCCUUGCUUAUUGGCUUCCAAAUCUUAACUUUCACUCCUACUUACAAUAUGUAGAGUAUUUAACAAAAAAUACCACUUUCAACCAGCCCUAGGAAGAAUCUAUUGUACAAAAAAUAGCAAAAACAUACCCAAAAUUUCUUAAUCCAUGCCAAAAACUACCUAGUAAUCCUAUCGAUUAGGUUCGUUUAAACCCAUUUAUGACAGGGUUGGCCCACACGUCCGUGCUGACGAGGCAGCUUAAACCAACACAUUUUGUUUGAUCGUUGACACGAGGGACCCACAUCUGACCUUCUAUCCUGUUAUUCCCCCUCAAAUCAUUAUUUUUCCUGAACAUUACUUGAAACAGUACUGAGGCGUGUUCGUCGGUGGCGCCGGUGAUGAGCGAGUUGGCCGCCGCUCCGUCGGACGGGCCGGACGCCGCGCUGGCCUCUGCACAGGUUGGUAGGCUGGCCCGAGCGUGACUCACGAGCGAGCAAGCCGCCGCGCUGGCCUUCGCUCGAGCCAGAUGGCUGGCCUUAGUGCGGCGCGCGCGAGCAAGCCGCCGCGCUGCCGUGCCAAUCUAGCUAGCAAACCUUGCACACAAGCAGCUGGACGGAGCUAUCUUGGCUAGCUAGCGGCCGCGAGCGCCGGACGGAGCUGGCAUCCGGCUGCCGCAACAUGGGCUCUGCACCACCGGCGGUUUUGACCUCGCCUUCUGCCGGCGGCGGUAGCUGCGUCCCAUGGCCGAGGAUGACUAGGUGGACGGGCCGGAGGUAGGAGGUCACUCGAGGAUUUUUGUUGGUAAGAGCAUGUACAAUGGUUGAUAAGGUAGUCUUAUCUUAAGUCUGCCACGUAUGCAAGUGGUAGUAGUUUCUUGGCAUUUUAGUGGUUUCUUGCAUUAUUAGAGCAAGUAUAAUAGAGCUGAGUCAGCGGGCUAUAAGAAAUAAACUAGUAUAUUUCUGCUUAGUUGGAGGAAAGAGAAGAGGAGAGAGAAGGUAAGCGGGCUCUUCGUGAAGAGCCAGCUCUAGCACGUGCUCCUAGGCACUUUGUGAGAAUGAGAAGUGGGCCACAUAAUAAAAAAGUAGUACACUCUUUUGAUCUAUUAUUGUACAUGUUUGCUAUAAGAUGGGAUGUAGAUCACAUGGCACUGGCUUAUAGCCAGCAGCUGGCUAUACUAUUAACCAUGCUCUUAGGGGUUUCUUGUAAGGAACAAUGUACGUAGUACUAGCGACAAAAGGCGAUUCUAGGUUGCGUUGUACUCCAACGAGUACUACUAGUGGUCGCGGGAGUGUAUACCUCGUUUUGUGGGUUCGAUCCCGGCCGAACGCACGACGGCCUUUUUUAAAAAAUAGUACUACUACACUUCACUGCGAGCCAAUAUUUUACACGGGUAGUUUGAGUUUUGAAGUCAAACGGGCGUGCGGCCCCACAAUCUGGGUGCACUGGACAGCCUAGCCACGUGAACGGGUUUUCCUUCCCAGCAUCCCGUGGCUCGCGUGCUCGCCCUAGCCGCACCUCGCUUGCAGCUUCCAGCUAGUAGCAUAUUUAAACUAGCGCCUCCCAAUUAAGCCCGAGGAGCCGGAAAAGCCUGGCGAGGCAUAUGGCUCUGUACGUCAAGUGCUCUACUACUACUCUGUAGCUUGUGGCGUUCCACGCAUGGACUUCACUCCAUUAUCGGCUCUACUAUAAAAGAAAUUCCUCUUGACGUGUGUUUUUGAAACGGAGGCAAAAGCUUUGCUGCAUCUCAUUAAUAAAGAAGGAACUACUAACAAAGUUCGACAAGAUCCAUUACACCUCCACAAAUGGAAGCGAAAAGCCUAGUCUCGCUGUAUCAAAUAACUCAAAUGUUCUGCCCCUGUAGUAACCGUCGCUGAUAAAUAGGCUGCUAGUGUGUGCGUGAGAGGAGCGGCUGAGUAGGCCAGCUACGUGAGAGGAGCGGCUGAAUAGAGCACCGAGAGUACCCACUAGGCCACUACGCAGGUGUACUUCCCCUGCAUUGAUAGUACAGCGAUGGUUCUAGAGAACAGUAGUACCCUCCACUUCCAACUGUAGCUCCUUGGCCCUAAGAUUCAAGAGUUCAAAACUGGUGCACUAUACUAGACUAGACUAGAAGUACAGUACAUGGCACUACUAGUUGAGAAAAGUAGUACUAGUAUUGCUACAGUACGAGUACGUACUCCUCCGUCACAUAAUGUAAGAUGUUUUUUUGAAACUAGUUGGCGUGUACAAAAAAUGGCAAAAACAUACCCAAAAUUUCUUAAUCCACGCCAAAAACUACUACCUAGUGCCAAAAAUUUCAUACUAGUGCUAUUAUUUACAGUAUAAUGCAAUCCCAUAACGUUCCAUAAUGCUAGUACUAGUAGUAAAUAAUAGCCUCACCCCUUCGCUGAGGAACGAUCUACAGUUGGAAGGGACGAGGCCCUGUGGUUACUACGCUCUUAUCUCCUCCUUGCCAGUUCCCCUCCCCCCGAAGAGAAGGCAGUUCGUCGCUGCUCCCAUGGAUUCGCCAGGCGGUUCUCCUCCUCGUCGGGGCUGGGAGACCUUGGAUGACGAUCCUCUGGGAGAAAUCGCACGCCGCUCCGACGUCCUCACCGCCGCAAGACUCGGUGCUUCCUGCACCAACUUUUUCAAGACGCUGCUUAAAUGGGCUUGGGAAAAGGCCAUGCUUGUUGGUCUUCCAUGCGUCCUCAAGGAUAAGGUUCUUCUAUGGGACAAUCCUUCCAACAGUCCACCGCUCCUUGGCCAUGGUUGCACGUUGACUCCACUAGAGUUGCCGACGUUGAGAGGUAGUCGGAUUUUGUCCGAUGAGCAUGUCAGUAAUGGAGUUUGAUCAUGUAGUACUUAGUUAUUCCAUUUCCAUCCGGUAAUUUCUCCGCUGCUCACCGUCUUAUAUAUAGGUCUGGGUCGGUGCCAACGAAGAUUGGCUUGCAUACCUCCGGCCGGAUACCACCAUCAUUUUGCACAACAUCCACAGCAGUGCGGCCGUUCCGGUAGACCCCUUCUCCACCAUUGGGAUCGGCCUUCCGGACUGGUUGGGCUUGAAUACGUAUGAUGAUGCCUACAUGAGAUUGAAGAAGAUAGCAAUUGCGGACCCUCCGACAAAGCGACGUGGCUACGACGAUUACUAUCUCAUCGCGGUGUUCGACAUAAGGAUUGCCAUCAAUGCAAGAGGCAGUAACGGCAGAGGCUGGCUCAUGUUGGCGCCGGCAGAUUUGUACCCCUACAUGUUCGAAGACGCCGUGCGCCAUCUAGGCCGCAUCUUCGCGGUGACAAGCCAGGGGACUUGUUUCAUCUGGUUGCCAUCCUACGGUACGGGAGAUUACAAACGGAAUGCACAAACCAUCAUUUGCAUCCCUAACGGUACUCCAUUAUUUUGCAGGGACCAGUCAUCCCCCGACCAAAAUAAGAUUGCCGAUCCUGGAUGUGCAUUUGCAUCCGCGAUUCGGUCUAACCUGGAACCUUGUAGCUGACUUUGGCAUAUUGGGAUCAGCUAUCUUAGCAGUCGUUACCCAUGGUACCACUGAUGUGCAACAUGGUCACACAAUCUACCAUGAUCGGACCGUCACCAUCUACCCAGGUAUUCCAUUUUUUAACCCUCUCGCCUUCUCUUUCAUUGUUGUACUAGUAGUAUACUUUGUAUUACUAGUAGGAGUACUUUUUACCUUGGAGGACGCGUAUAGCUAGCUAGGCCCUUGAAGACUUGAACCCACUAGCUGCCACCAUUUUUGUUUUUCCAUGUCUUACUAUCUCAUCCAUGUAGCCAAGAGUGGCUAUAUAUAAUAAGCCGGUUAUUUUACUUCCUCUAUACCGGAGUAGUACUAUUUGCUGCACAGUAUUACUGACCGCCAUAUUUGAGCACAACAUUAUUAUGCAUGGACCUUGACUAUGUACGUCACCAUGUGUCCAGAUCUAGGAUGUCGCGUGUACCAGAUGAACGGCGUCGAGUUCGACCCCCGUGAUGCUACGUGGGUGCCGAGGAACACUCUUGGAGAGUACUCGCUUUUCAUCGGGGACAGCUACCCCAUUGUGAAGCGGAUGCCACCUUCCGUGCACGACACGGAAGGCCUGCCGUUCAUGAAGCAUGGUUGUGUCUUCAGUGCGCACCGCCGGAUGAACGACAUGCUGGGACACGCUAUCCCUGAUUUAUGCCGCUUCAGCUUGGAUGAGUCUCCAUCGUGUGGAACCGGACUAGAAAGCUGCGACAAUGAUUCCCGUUGCCCACCGCUAUGGAUCGUGCCAUCCAUGAAGAACACCUGGGACUGGAACCUGGAGGAGGACAUGUAGCCCAUCUAUGACGUGUAAGUGGAGUACGGUAAUUGUGAACGGUAGCGCUGUGAAUAUAUGUAGACUUGUCGUGCACAAAUUUAUCACAUGAAUUGGAGAUGAACUUCUGUGGCAUACUGGCAUUUUUCCUUUAGAAUUUAUUACUAGUAAAUGUGUUAUGUGUACGUGCAACUUGUGUGGUUGUUGCACAGGCUCCAACACGCUCUUUGAGAAAAAAGGUGGCACAGCUUUGGAUAUACGUGACGUGGCAGCGUCAUACAGUAGCAUCGUUCGCUAUAGUUGUAGUACACUCCUACUAGGACGACAACUCCUAUAAAACCUUGCGCUUGGCUCUUUGCCUCUUCAGGAGGUUCAACAGUUCGUACUCGUGUGAACCUUGCACUUGGCUCUUCGCCUCUUCGGAAGGUACAACAAUGAUGAUACUACAGUACAAUAUGCUUCUGGCAAUCUGACACCGAUUGAACUGCUGCACGUCCACCGCGAGGGCGAGGGAGAGGGAGAGGGAGAGGGCGCUGUAGUCAAAACCCUCUCCUCGUCCUGCGAACCAGCGCGCGCGUGGGCGAGGGAGAGGUGUAGUAAGCAAGCUUCUCCUCGUUCGGUGAGUUGACGGGACACAUCAAAGCAGUACUAGUACUAGUAGUAGUAGUCCAUACUGCGUCCUUUUCGAUUAAUAUGGCUUAAUUUGAAACGAGAAAAAUACACUGGCGGUCAACGUAUGUAACAAUACGCUCUUUACGGUCACUAUAUAUAGUUUUGCGGCGAUUAUACGAUCACUAGCUCAUCGUAGAGCACCGUAUUGCACCCUACUGACCGGCCACAUAGUCGACGUGGCACUUUGUUGACUGGUUAAAUUGUCACCUGGUUUCUGGGUCCCACCUGUCAGUUGGCAGAGCAAAGAAAUCAGUUAAAGAAAACUUUAAACAGGCGCGACACGAGUCCAACCCUUGCGCGCGAACCGCCCUGGUUGUGUAUGUGAGUGCAUGCACGUGUCCUCCCUCGGUCUUCCAACAAAGAGUGUACAUCGGCUAUAAAACAAAGAGUGUAGUACAUGAUGUACAUCUACACUUACAAUGCAUUUAGCCUUUAAUCUAAAUCGAUAUUGAUUGACUAAUGCACCAACUUGUGCUGUAGGUAUAGGCUACAUGUGUAUCCUUAAUUACAGCAUGCAAUGGCCUUCAUUUAAUCUUCUUAUCUCAAUGGUCGCAUGCACACAUAAGUCUGCUACUUUUGGGCGUUAAUUAUGCCCUGGUCAAUGUGUAAAUCUCUAAAUGUACAGUCUUUCACGGACAUAGGGAGUAGGUUGAGCACUUGAGCGUGAGCGUGUGUGUUGCGUCGUGUGCUGUGUGCCGCAUGGGUGCGUGAGUGUUGCGUGCGUCCAUGUGUACGUGUGAGUGUUGCAUGUUGCAUGCAUGCAUGCAUGCAUGAGGCUUACACCCUCCCAUUGACAUGUUCAUAUUUCAAGCUUCCUCUGUUCCCUCCAUAUGGUGAUACUCCCUCUGUUCCCAAAUAGUACGGAGUAAGCCUCCCUCUGUUCCCAAAUACGCAGUAUUUGUCUUUCUACAGAUUUCAACAAGUGACUUGGUAUGGAGCAAAAUGAGUGAAGUGAGCGUAGAGGCAUAGGGAUACAGUAGAAAGGAAGUCCUCGCGAUCCAUUAUUCCCCAUCUCGGUCAGAGAGAACUAUUCAACUAGUCUUCGUAGUGAAGUGACAAUACACGCUGCAGCAGAUGGGACACAUAAUUAAUAAGCUGAACCAGCGUGUUGGUGUUACUAAAUCAGCCUUACCCAGUACUGCCAUCAUGUUUGCCAGUAGAGCACGCUUCCGCAAAUACGCCUACGCACCUCUGUCCUCCAUUAACUGACAUAUGGGCCCUGUUGUGGUAGACCCACAUGUCAUCGGUGUAACUAUUUACACUCCGAAGGACGGCAUAUCCUGGUAGAAGUACUAGUAGAAUUGAGAUUGAAUGUACUUUCUUCCCCGUCUUCCACUCUUCUUCCUCCUCUCUUCUUCUUCCUCCUCUCUUCCCCAUCGUCGGCCGCACACCAUUUACCCCCGCUCACUGCUCGCCCGCCCGCGCCAUCUUCCUUGGUAGCUCGCGCGUACCAUAUCCCCCCGCUCACUGCUCGGCCACACGAGGAGAAGCUUCUUCGCUCGCCCGCCCGAAUCCACUUCCCCGCUGGCUCGCAGGCAUCGAAAACCCCAAUGGCAGAACCGACUGACACGCAGAGCCGCGAUUGGAAUUCCCUCCCCGAUGUUCUCUUGGAGCAGAUCUGUAGUCGUAUGGACCUACUCAGCACCGUCCGUCUGGCCGCAUGCUCGGUGUCUUUGUACCGUCUACUCGUCUGCAACCGGCCGGCUCUUUUCAAGACACCCUUCUUGCUGAUGCCCGAUCCUCGCAGGUGGCCCAGAGACCGACUUGACGAUCCUAUGGAGGUUGCCGUGGUGCCCCUCGACAUGCUACCACUACUCGUCCACCUGUCCUUCAGGCGCGGCCACUACUGGGCGGGCAUGAAGGCCAACUGGAUCGUCCUCAUCCACCACAUGGUAGUUCGUGGCAUCUCGUGGAUAUCUACACCCAGCGAGAGAUCACCCUUCCAUCGUUGGAUACCGCCGCCAUCGAGCCUUGCGGCCCGCCGGACACUCCUGCCUACUACGCACGAGACGCGUCAAGCCUUUGGCUCGACCUCUAUUUGCAGAAAGUUGUAAUCUGCGAAGUGCCCACACCAUCAGAAGACUACAUGGAUUACAAGCUCAUUGCCUUGUUCAACAUGGGAUUAGUCUAUCUGGAAUCCGGUCGCCAUACAUGGUUAUGGCUCAUCAUCAAUCCUAUUGAGGCAACAUUUCUGUCUGAUGCUAUAGUGCACGAUGGCAUCAUUUGCGCGGUCGACGCACAGAUUGGCUGCCUAUACUGGUGGAAUUUAUCGUCGUGUAAUUGUUCUAUCUCAUCUCAUCUUUACCUUAUGAAUACGACUGCCUGUUCAUUUGUUACAAAUUUAGAAUGCAUAGCAUGUCUAUAACCACAUCAUUGCUAUAUGUUCCUCUCAUUUCCUAGAUUUUUAUGACCACACAUGUUAUUGUUAGAGUUGAUAUGAGAACAAUUGGCAUCUAAUGAUUGUUAGAAUACAUAUUAUGAGCAUAACAUCAUGAUUGCUAUAUGUUACUCUCGUUUACAAGAUUUUUAUAACAACGCAUGUUAUUGCUUAGAGUUGAUAUGAGAACAGUAGUAGUAAGUGCUAUGGUAGAAUAUGAGUAGGCACUGUCAUAGCUGUUUUCCUCUCAUUGUUACAUGAUGUUUGAACCAAAAAAUAUUGCUAGAAUAUGAAAGCCAUUGGCUUAUUUUUUUAACUUGGGGUAUGAUUAUGACCACGGCAUUGCAAUUCUCUGUCUAUGAUAUGUGUCACUGUGAUAAUAAUCUUAAUUCUGCACAUACUCUGAACAUGAUUGUUUAUUUUUGUCCUUUUGGUCUCCAAUUUGAAUUGUUGCAGCAGACGCAAAUGCGCUGGCCUUCAUGAUUCUAGGACCUGGAAUCAUACCAGCCGAUGGGUGGUGGUUUAUCGCUCGUUCAGCUGACGGCGGUCAUUUGAUGCUCAUUCGCACGUACCAAAUUGACCAAACCAUUACAUCAAACCACAUGCAGUACAAUGCGUGGGGCAUUCGUGACAUUGAUGGCUAUGGCUGCUUUGUGUUCGAGAAAGAUCCCAGCUCCGUUUGGCCAGGCGUAUUCAACUGGAGGCGGGUUUACAGCCUCCGCAACCACUUCUUGUUCCUCGGGCUCAAUUAUCCGAUCAUCCAACCAAUCACCGAUCAUAUCACCGGCGAUGAUUACUGUGCUAUGCAACUUCCAUUCGCGACGGGGGCUGUGUUUACACAUCAUACCAUGGGUUUCAUGAAUCACCAUAUCCAGAGAUUCGUCGACACAGCUUGUUGCCAGAUAAUCUUCAGUGUGUGAAAGGCAUCAAGCUUCCAUGCGAUGGAUGGCUUUUGCAAACCCAUAAUGCGGCGAUGUGGUUCAUGCCAACAAGAAAUAUGCACAACUUGAGUCAUGUUGAUAUCUAGACUGAGCUAUGUAUUCUGCUGCUGUAGCACGACCCUCUUUUGUUGGAUAUUAUGUAUUGUUGUUAGUUUGAAGCACUCCUCUGGUUUGAAGGAUAGAUACCUUCCUGGGAUCUCUAAAAUAAGACAAAAUUUACGAAACGUAAAAUUACGGUGCAUAGAUGUUAAAAUAGAGGUGGGUGAAGAAUAAUUAUUCCUCACCCAGGGUGACGAAUAGUCAAUCCCUAUAUAUAUAUGUAUCAGUUAGGCUUCAAGUGCCUACUUGUUAGUUAAACCUAUGUAUAAAUUGUGACACUAAAUACGACUAAUAAGUAGUACAAUAGCAGUACUAGUAUACGUCGGUCAAAUUAUUCAUCAUGUCCACACAUUGAAUUGACGUGACAACACGCUGCGCGUGAGGUGACACAAGAAUCCCGGCGGCGUGUUCGGGUAUUCUGGACUUCAGAUUUGGAGUACCACUUAUCUGUCGAAAUCUUUCAUCAUUCACUUAAAAUAGUUGAUUGAUCAUACAUUGAGUACCAUAUAACUGGAAUUACCGAUGCAAGUCGAAGAAGGAUUGGCCGGUGCUGCCGACUGGCGUCAAGUUCGAUCCCACGGAUCAGGAGCUGAUCGAGCACCUUGAGGCCAAAGUGAGUGCUGACAGCGCGAGAUUUCAGUCUCUCAUCGAUUUGUUCAUACCAACCAUCGACAGCGAGCACGGCAUAUGCUACACCCAACCUAAGAAACUUCCAGGUAAGACAUCGAUCGGCCGUCUACUUGCACAAACAUAUUCCUUUGUUUAUAGCUCUAUUUUUCUUUUUAGACGCAGACCUGGUGAUGCAAUUACAAUUUGACAGUUAAUAAAAAGUGAAACAAGUGACUGCAACAUGCCAAAGAUGUUAUGAAAAUGCCAACUAGGUACACUAAAACCUGUAUUCCACAAUACUGCAGGUAUCACACUGAGUGGCCUAAGGAAGCAUUUCUUCCAGCGCAAUUCCAGGGCGUUCAAAAGGGGCACGCGGAUGCGUCGCAAGAUACAGUCGGAGUGAAGCAUGCACGCGAUGUGGCACAAGACCAGCAAUACCUUGCCCGUGAUGGUCAACGGCCGGCAGACGGGCAGCAAAAAAGGUUCUGGUGCUGCACACCAACAAGAACUUCGACCAGCAGAGGAGCAACUGGGUGAUGCACCAGUACCACCUCGGGGACCUGGAGCAAGAGAAGGAGCGGGAGCUGGUCCUCUGCAAGAUUUUCUGCCAAACAAACACUAGGGCCAGGAGUAAAAAGAUUAUAAGUUAGUUUGGUAUUGGUAGUUGUACUACCUUGUCGUCCGCAAGUUGGUAUUGUUGUUAACGAUCUUUUGGUAUGAACUUGCAUUUGCUACCAACCAUCAUGCCGAGGGUCGACGUGGAUAUAAAGCUGAAUCAUUUGUUUCGAAAUGAAUUUUCAGGCACCUGAUUUUUAUUUGAUGGGAAGCAUAAGCACCCGCCGUUCGAAUUCCCAGUUCUCCAAUUUUUUCGAAACAAGUGCAUGCAGUCGGAGUAAAUGGCCACGGGUAGGCUAACCGACUGCCCCUGGUUCUUCUGAAAAAAUUAUCAGGCCUUCGGGCCUCCAAGCACUCCAAGCAUUGGGCCGCCUUCCCUGGCCGGCUACCUCUGAAGCCGACUCCCGGAAGGCGACCCAGCCUCAGCAACCCCUCCCCAGGACGACUACGGGGUGGCCGACUCCAAGAAGCCGGCCAAGAGGGACGGCGACUCCAAGAAGCCGUCCAAGACCACAACCACCAAAGCUACCCCCACAUAACGGCGACAAGACGGGGUGUGGCCACAGUGCGGCCCACUACCCCCGAAGCCCGAGGCGGGCAUGGCUACAGGAGGCCGUACGGGACGGCCGUCUCCUGUGCGGCUCGGCACUGUAGCCAUGCUAGCCUCAACGUCAUCCACGACAGACUCCCGUACGGCCCAUGGGCGGCGGGCCCCUUCAGCCAGAGAGAGGCGUGAAGGCGGCCUGGCCUUUCCCAGUUGGCCAAGGGCGUAGCCGGCCCCCGGAAGCCGGCUACUCCCUUCCUCGAAGCAGGAGCCCCAUUAAGGAGACAAGACGAGGUAAGGCUACAGUGAGAGCCCCCGAGGCGGCCCACUGUAGCCACGCUUACCUCGACAAAGCCCUCGUCAUCAGAGGCGAGGCUACAGUAAGCAGCCGCCAACAAGACCCUAGGCGGUGGGGCCGGCCUGUUGACCGAGAGGCCGGCAGCCGGCGAGACCCACCAGUCGGCAGGCCCCAACGGCCGGCGGAGAAGCCGGCGAGCGUAGACACUGACGGCUGGGACCAGUGCCCAGCCGGAUUACCAUUGUACCCCCGAGGGGUAGGCCUAUAUAAACCCCCCGGAGCACCCAUGCAAAGGGUUGGCUUCUAAGCAUAGCACACACACACCAUAGAUUGAGAGAAGCAAGAGCUAGCCUUGUUCUUCUUCUCCCCUGAUCCCAACGGCUCUAGGAGCGAUUGUAGCUACCCAUUCUCGAUCUAGUGAUCAUGCGGAGACCCCGCAGAGCAGGACUAGGGGUGUUAUCUCCUCGGAGAGCCCCGAACCUGGGUAAGAUCCGCCGGCGUGCAUGUCUUCGCCUCAUCCCGUUUCCAGGCACCGGCGAUGUCUUAUUGGCACCCACAAUGAUAAGCCAUCCGUUCACAUAUGUCGCACCAACCACCCGACAUUUGGCGCCCACCGUGGGGCCAGGUGCACCAUCGUCCGGAGACCUGUUCUGGAUGGGAAACCUCUUCCUCCCCCGCGAGCGCAGCCAGCCGGCUACGCCCGAUGGCGCCUGCCUCGACGCGCUGCAAGGCGUAGACGACGCCUCCGCAGCGAGCCGCCUCGCCGAUCUGCUCGGCGAGACUCGCAUCUCCGACGAGCCUGCGUCCGACGCAGGCACCGACUACCCCGAGAACCGCCUCGUCAACCUCCUCGACCAGCUUCACGUCUCCAGCGAGCCUGCUGCAGACAUGGAGUCGGUCGGCUCCACCGACCCGAUGCUCAUCGACUCCGACACAACAUCGCUUGACGCCUACCCCUCCGACGUGGUGGUCUUCGACGACCUCCUCCCUCGAGCUGACAGCGGCAGCAGCGCUGUCACCGAAGUGCUGGUCAUCAGCCACGUCGCCAACUCGGGCGAGAAUGCCCACGACGCCUUGCAAGCAGCAAUGCACGACCUCUCCGUCCCCAUCCCGGCCGACGCCGACGCCGAGACCCUGGAGGCACGCCGCCUUGCCCUCAUCGCGGAGGGCCAGAAGAUAGCCUCCAUGAGACGCCUCACCGAGGCCCACCAGCGCGAAGUCGACCGCGCCGCCUUCGGUACGCCGCCGCCUAGCGGCCCGAGCCGAGCCGGCUUCGUCCAGAAGCGCGGCGCGGCCGUCGCCAGCAUGCUGGGCGCAGAUCGCCCGUCUACGCCACCCCGUUCGAGAAUCUGCGAGCCGCUCAGGCAGCCGCAGAAGAGCUCAAUGGGCUGGGAGCCGAUGAGCUCCCCUACAUGACAAGACGGAUCCAGCAGCUGCUCGACGCGGCUGCAGAACGGCACGAAGCCGGCGCUCGUGCUGAUAGUCAUCCCCCGCGCCGGGAGCACGCCGCGACGUCUCGCUCGCCGACUGCGAGCGGCGCGCGCCAGAAGAAAGACAAGGAGCCGGCUACCAGCCGCAGCCGGACUCGCGUUACCAUCGAGCGCGACGCGGAAGGCCGCCCUUGAGCGGUUGAACACCAAGGAAAUAUGCCUCCUCCCCCGCCUCGAAGAGAAAGACGCCUCACUCCGCCGCCUAUCACGCACCCGACUCUUGGCGACCGACUCGGCCGCCGAGAAGGAGUCGGCGAGAACGACGCCCGCCACAGGAUCGACCGCCUUGCUCGAUCCUUGGCGUUAGAAGAAGAAGACGAUGUCGGCCCGCCAUGCUUUGGCCCCCGCAUCCGCGACGCCCUUCCCCAAAGGGUUCUCGCUCCCCAGAGACACGCCCAAGUACAACGGCUUGGUGAAGCCGGAAGAUUGGCUCAUCGACUACUCCACGGCCGUCAGCAUAGCCAACGGCAAUCGGCGCGUCGCCGUGAAGUACGUCCCCCUCAUGCUGCAAGGCACGGCGCGCACAUGGCUCAACAGCCUCAAGCCCUACAGCAUCAACAGCUGGCUGGACUUCACCGAAGUCUUCGUCCGCAACUUCACCAGAACCUACAAGCGGCCACCCAAGCCUCGCCAGCUCUCCCUCUGCGUCCAAGGGCCCAACGAGUCGACCAGCGACUACCUCACGCGAUGGGCCGAGCUCCGCAACUCCUGCGAGGGGGUGCACGAGGUCCAGGCCAUCGAGUACUUCACCGCCGGGUGCCGAGAGGGCACCCUCCUCAAGCACCGACUCCUCUGCGAUGAGCCGGCUACCCUCGAUGAGUUGCUGGUCAUCGCGGACAAGUACGCCACGGCCGACUCCUCGAUGAAGACCGAGCUGAGAGUUGACGCCUCUGGGAAGGUGAUUGCUCCGGCUCCCAAGACGCCGGCUGGCGACCCUAAUCGGCGCCCCUACCAGAACGACCACAAGCGCAAAGCCCCCAUGUCGACUUCCUCCAGUCGGCAGGUGGCCACAGUUGAAGAUGAGUAGCCCGAAGAACGGCCCGCUCCCAAGAAGAAGGGUGGAAGGCCGGCUUGGCAGCCGUCUUUCUCCUACGAACAAGCUCUCGACGCCCCCUGCAAGUUCCACAGCGGCGUGAAGCCGUCCAACCACACAACCCGGAAAUGCCACUGGCUCACCCGCAUCACCAAGGGCGAGGGAAUGAUGCCGCCUCCGCCUCCCGGCCUGCCGCCUCCAGCCCCCCAGCAGCCGGCGGCUCGGUCGGCAGUCGGCGCCAUCCAAGACGAAUUCCCCGAAGAGCACGCCGCCUACGUCGUCUUCACCAGUCAAGCCGACGACAAACGCAGCCGACGCCGACAGCACCAAGAGGUGAAUGCAGUCGCCACCAGCGCCCCCGAGUUCAUGCACUGGUCAGAAAAGCCAAUCAGCUGGAGCCAGGCCGACCACCCAGAGGUGAUGCCUUCGCCUGGCUCCUAUGCAAUGGUCUUGGACGUCACCCUCGCGACGGAGAGGCGAGCUGCCAGAUUUUCCCGCGUCCUGAUAGACGGCGGAAGCAGUAUCAACAUACUGUACCGCGAUACCAUGGAGAAGCUGAACAUCAAAGCAAAGCAGCUCAUGCCGAGCCGCAGCGUGUUCCAUGGUAUCGUCCCCGGCCUGUCUUGCUCCCCAAUCGGCAAGAUCAAAAUGGAUGUUCUCUUCGGAGACAAGGAUCAUUUUCGCCGAGAAGCAAUAUGGUUCGAGGUAGUGGAUUUGGAGAGCUCCUAUCAUGCACUGCUUGGCCGACCUGCCCUGGCCAAGUUCAUGGCUGUGCCCCACUAUGCCUACCUGAAGAUGAAGAUGCCGAGCUCGAAGGGGAUCAUCACGGUAGCCGGCGACUACAAGAAGUCCAUCGAGUGCGCCAUGGCCAGUAGCCGGCUGGCCGAGUCCCUCGUGGUGGCAGAAGAGAAGAAGAUGUUGGAACGGGUUGUGGCCAUGGUCGGCAAGCAGCCGGCCUUGUCCCCCAACCCCAAGGAUUGUGAUGCGCAGGGCUCCUUCCAGCCUGCCAAAGAGACGAAGAAGAUACCUCUGGACCCGGAGAACCCGGAGAGGUUCGCUGUCAUUGGGGCGAACUUGGACAGUAAAUAGGAAGGCGAGCUCGUCGACUUCCUCCGUGAGAAUCGAGACAUCUUUGCAUGGUCCCCAAAGGACAUGCCGGGUGUCCCGAAGGAUUUCGCUGAGCACAAAUUACAUGUCCGAGCUGAUGCGAAGCCGGUCAAGCAACCCCUCCGCCGACUGUCAGAAGAGAAGCGAAGAAUUGUGGGAGAAGAGAUAGCCCGGCUCCUUGCCGCUGGCUUUAUCAUGGAAGUGUUCUUUCCAGAGUGGCUUGCCAACCCAGUUCUGGUUCUGAAGAAGAAUAACAAGUGGCGUAUGUGUAUAGACUACACCAGUCUGAACAAGGCCUGCCCAAAGGAUCUGUUCGCUCUGCCACGGAUUGACCAAGUGAUAGACUCCACAGCCGGAUGCGAGCUGUUAAGUUUUUUGGAUGCGUACUCAGGGUACCAUCAGAUCAAGUUGGACCCAGCUGACCGCCUGAAGACUGCCUUCAUCACACCCUUUGGAGCUUUCUGCUACCUGACUAUGACAUUCGGCUUGAGAAAUGCCGGUGCCACUUUUCAGCGUUGCAUGCAGAAAUGUCUCUUGAAACAACUCGGCAGAAAUGCCCACGUCUACGUAGACGACAUUGUGGUGAAGACAGAGAAGCGCGGUACCUUGCUGGAAGACCUGACAGAAACAUUCGCCAACUUGCGUCGAUUCCAGAUCAAGCUCAACCCCGAGAAGUGCGUCUUCGGAGUGCCAGUCGGCCAGCUGCUAGGCUUCCUGGUCUCUGAACGCGGCAUUGAGUGCAACCCCGUCAAGAUCAAGGCCAUCGAAAGGAUGGAGAUUCCCACCAAACUGCGAGAUGUGCAGAAGUUCACUGGCUGCUUAGCCUCCCUGAAUCGUUUUAUCAGCCGACUAGGAGAAAAGGCUCUCCCCUUGUACCGACUCAUGAAGAAGUCCACUCACUUCAAGUGGAACGAUCAAGCCGACCAAGCCUUCCAUGAGUUGAAGAAAAUGCUAACCACUCCGCCUGUCCUGGCUGCGCCGACUGAGAAGGAGCCCAUGCUCCUCUACAUCGCCGCGACUAGCCGAGUCGUCAGCACUGUUGUUGUGGUCCAGCGCCCGGAGGAAGGCCGAGCCCAGCUAGUCCAGAGGCCGGUGUACUAUCUCAGCGAAGUGCUGUCCAGCUCAAAGCAAAACUACCCACACUACCAGAAGAUGUGCUAUGGGGUGCACUUCGCUGCCAAGAAACUGAAGCCCUACUUCCAAGAGCAUCCCAUCACGGUCGUGUGCACUGCCCCGCUUGCCGAGAUCAUAGGCAGCCAGGAUGCAUCCGGCCGGGUGGCCAAAUGGGCCAUUGCAUUGGCGCCCUAUACGAUCUUCUACCAACCCCGCACUCCCAUCAAGUCGCAAGCAUUAGCCGACUUCCUCGUCGACUGGGCCAAGACCCAGUACCUACCGCCGGCUCCCGACUCUACCCAUUGGCGGAUGCACUUUGACGGGUCCAAGAUGCGCACUGGCUUGGGAGCCGGCAUCGUCCUCACCUCUCCCAAAGGCGACAAGCUCAAGUACACGCUGCAGAUCUACUUCGCCGCCUCCAACAACGUGGCCGAGUACGAGGCGCUUGUACACGGGCUCCGGCUAGCCAAAGAGCUUGGCAUACGCCGGAUCCUGUGCUACGGCGACUCAGACUUGGUAGUCCAGCAAUCGUCUGGCGACUGGGACGCCAAGGACGCGAACAUGGCGAGUUAUCGAUUCCUCGUCCAGCAGAUCAGCGGAUACUUCGAGGGGUGCGAGUUCCUCCACGUGCCAAGGGCCGACAACGACCAAGCAGAUGCCCUAGCACAGAUCGGCUCCACCCGACAAGCCAUACCGACUGGCGUCUCCCUCCAGCGCCUCCUCAAGCCGUCCGUCAAGCCGUCUCCAGAGUCGGAUUCCAUUUUCGUACCGCCUGCACCAGAUACAGCCGGAUCCGACUGGAGAAACCCCGCAGGCGGCACGGGGACUUCGACAACCGGCUCAGGGACUGCCGUAGUAGCACCCGGCCCGGGGACUUCAGAACCCGGCCCGGGGACCGCAGCAGUCGGCCCGGGGACUACAACGACACAAGAAGCAGUGGCCGACUCACCCAACCCACCCACCCGAGUCAUGGUGGCUACAUUAACAGAAGAAGAAUUCACAGCUCCCUCAUGGGCCCAGCCCAUCCUCAAGUUCCUAGUCAGCAGAGAGCUGCCGGCUGAUGAGAUCUCAGCAAGACUAGUGCAACGACGAGCCGCAGCAUAUACAAUAAUCAACAGAGAGCUUGUGAAGCGCAGCGUCACUGGAGUCUUCCAGCGUUGUGUCGAGCCAGAAAAAGGAGUGGCAAUCCUCAAAGACAUCCACCAAGGCGAAUGCGGCCACCACGCAGCCUCAAGAUCCCUUGUGGCCAAGGCUUUCCGCCAUGGUUUCUUCUGGCCGACUGCCUUGGAGGAUGCUAAAGAAAUAGUCAAGAGCUGCAAAGGAUGCCAAGUUUUUAGUUCCAAGCAACAUCUGCCGGCUUCUGCAGUCAAGACCAUUCCCCUCACCUGGCCUUUUGCCGUCUGGGGACUGGACAUGGUGGGCCCCUUCAAGACAGCCCGCGGCGGCCUGACACAUCUACUUGUUGUUGUGGACAAGUUCACAAAGUGGAUUGAAGCAAAGCCAAUCAAGAAGCUCAAUGGGCCGACUGCCGUAACAUUCAUCACCGACAUCACUACUCGGUAUGGCGUGCCGCACAGCAUCAUCACCGACAACGGCACGAACUUCGCCAAAGGAGCACUGGCACGUUUCUGCGCGACGCAGGGCAUCCGACUGGACUUAGCGUCCGUUGCGCACCCGCAGUCAAACGGCCAGGUCGAGCGAGCAAACGGACUCAUCCUCUCCGGCAUCAAGCCCCGACUGGUUGUACCACUGGAGCAAUCGGCCGGCUGCUGGCUCGAAGAGCUGCCGGCUGUCCUCUGGAGCCUGCGCACUACACCCAACAAAUCAACCGGCUUCACUCCAUUUUUCCUCGUGUACGGUGCCGAGGCUGUCAUCCCAACAGACAUCGAGUUCGACUCGCCUCGAAUCACCAUGUACACGGAGGAGGAGGCCAAGGAAGCAAGAGAAGACGGCGUGGACCUACUGGAAGAAGGCCGGCUGCUAGCACUCAGCCGGUCCGCCAUCUACCAGCAAGGGCUGCGCCGCUACUACAACCGUAAGGUCAAGCCAAGAUCCUUCCAAGAGGGCGACCUUGUGCUCCGGCUGAUCCAGCGAACAGCCGGCCAGCACAAGCUCUCGGCCCCUUGGGAAGGCCCCUUCGUCGUCAGCAAGGCACUCGGCAACGACUCCUACUACUUGAUCGAUGCGCAAAAACCAAGAGCACGCAAGAGAGACGAUUCCGGCAAGGAGUCGGAGCGACCAUGGAACGCAAACCUCCUGAGAAGAUUUUACAGUUGAAAGCAGUAUGUAUCAUGCUACCCUUUUGUAUUAAGCACGAACCAACAGACCCCCCGAACAGUACUCGGGGACUGCCUUUUUAUUAUCUAUGAAUGACGAAUGUCAUAUCCAUGAAUGUAUUAUUACAUUUUGAAUUCUUGUCCGGCACCGGGUUCGACCAGUCGGCCCGGGGACUGGCCGCCUUGAGCUAUAUUGAAAGUUCUUCCCGAAGUCAGAAAGUAGUGCGCCGGCUCCCAAGUCCUCUCUUGUUGAAAGUCGCAGCUCAAAGAACUGACUGUCCGACUAGCAAGAGGGAAGACAGAAAGGAUGCCCACACGAAAAAUAGCUAAGGAACAAUGAACCUAUAUAGCAAAAAGACGGCCUCCAAACAUGCCUGCCGGCUGUCAAAACAACUGGCUGGCCGGCUUCCUAAACACUUAGCUUCAGUCCAGCAAAGCUAGAGUACUUCCCCCCCCCCCAAUUGGCCAAGCACUCCUCCAGCUACAGAUUGCAGAGCAACUGUUGGACUGGGGAGGCGGCAACCAAGGGAGGGCGGCAAUGGAAAAAGCAGAAGGACAAAAAGCAAAAGUACAAGGAAAGGCCAAAUGCAUAAGUUAUAUAUACAUAAAGCCCCCAACAGGCUGGCAACAGACAUAAGUUCGAAUACACCCAGUGGGUGGAAUUGUGCAGACUUAACCAAACAUUGUUCCUAAAGUAACUAGACUGGGAAACAAAAGACGGCAGACUAAGGCGCGCUGCGGAGGCCGAGCUGGUCGGUGAAGGCGGCCUCGCCGGCUGAAGGAGUGGCCGACUAGCGGGUCCCGGCUUGACCACCACCAGCGGCAGGAGACGCACUCGCACGCGACGUAGUGCUGGAGGUGCGGUCAGGCUGAGGCUGGCCGGCUGCUCCACCAGCCGGCUCGGCGUCUUCACCCUCCUCCUCCUCUUCUUCACCCUCGUCGCUGGAGUCGAUCUCCUCCAUCGAUUCUUCGCCAUACUCCGGGUUCAGACCGAACCACUCCUCCGGCUGGGUGACACCAUUGUCGUCCACCAGUGUCGGUGUAGUCGGCGAUCGCCGAAGCCCGCCGGAUGAUGGCCGGCCGCGCCGGCUCCAGCUCUGUGUCGGCUUGCUGCCGCCAGGUAGCCAGCUGAUCCAGGCUCAGGCCGGGAUACCAGGCCUUGACGAACUCCAGCGCCCGCCUGGCGCCGGAGCGAGCCGCCGAGGCCUUCCAAGCCUCGAAGCGGCCGACUGCCACCUCCAGCCAGUCGGCAGUCCGACUGGGGGUACGAGGAACCACUUGGCCGGGCCAGAGGGCGGCCAAGACUUGCGCCCUGGCACGCUGAAGCCGACGGAGCAGUCGGUGAGCCGGCUGGAUGCGGGCCUGGAUCGCCAGGAGCUGCUCCUCCAGCGAGCGGCCGGCGGUUGGCGAGAUCUCAAAGCUAGCCUGCCUUCGCGCCUGGCGACGGGCCUCGAUGGUCUGGUUGGCGGCAGUAGAAUAGCCAGGGAAAUACUCUGCGCAAGAAAGGAAGAAAAGAACACCAAAAUCAGAAAAAGAGCCAAAGUGGCAGAUGGCAAGAAAGGACAAAGAGGUAGGCGGCUUACCGUCAACCAGAUCUUCGAUCUGACCAUAGCCAGAGACCAGAGUCUGCCUGGCCUCAGCCCAGCCAGCCGCCUCCGUCUCGUACUCGGCCUGGAGGGCGGCUUCACGGUCCUGCACCACCUUCAGGGCCGCCUUGUGGCCUUCCUCCUGGUCGGCCAGCUUCUGGACCAGGCGGUCGCGCUCCUGCACCAAGGCGGCGAGCUCGGCAUCCUUGGCACAAAGGGCAGUCUGAGACUCUCCCAGCUGCGCCCUCAGACUGGCGUUGGCCGCUGCAGAGACGGCAGGAAAAGAAGAACAGUAAGAAGUCGUCAAGGAAGACCCGACCCGACUGCUCAGCAGUCGGCCCGAAUCUCGGUAACUACACCCAGUGUGUGCGCUGACGCGCCCCCACAUGAGAUAAAGAACAAACCACGUACCUCGGCUCUCAGUAAGGUCGGCGGUCUUCUGAGUUAGCUCCCGAGCCUGGGAAUUGAAGGCGGCCGCUCGAAGGUUGUGGUAGUCCUGCAAGAUGAACAGAAGACCGAAGUAAGAACAAAAAUAGCAAAGGUAAAUCCACCAAGAAGUUCCAAGCCGCCUGCUCAGCAGCCGACUCGGAACUCGGGGACUACACCCAGUGGGUGCGCUGACGCGCCCCCACGGAAGAAAUCAAGAUCAAGAAGAAAUCAAGAUCAAGAAGAAAUCAAGAUCAAGAAGAAAUCAAGAUCAAGAAGAAGCAGGAUGGGAAUACUAACCCGGAUAGCCGCCCGCGUCGCAAGGAACUCGUCGGUGAACUGCCUCAGCGCCGCAGCUUUGCCCUGGAGCCGGGUCCGAACGUCCUGUGCAGCCACGUUCACCACGGCCGUCCCUCCGCCUGGCGUCCACCCCGAGGUUGCGCUGGCCGCCUCCGCAUCCCGGGCCGACGAGCUGGAGCCCACGGCCGGCUGCGGCUCCGACGCGGCUUUCUGUGGCUCCGACGCGGCUUUCCCCGCGUGCCGGCUCGACAGAAUCCGGACCGCCAUCUCCGCCCUCGCGGCCGGCUCGCCCCCCGCCGACUCUGCAGGCGGCGGAUCAGGCCGGCCGCCUUGAGCCGCCCCAGUUGGCGGGGUCGGCACCGGCGCCCUCUCCAGGAUGAUGACGUCGUCGCUUCCCCCCAGCCCUGGCUGGUCGCCGCUGGCUCCCUCUAGCGAGGGCUCCAUGUCCCCAGGCGCCAUGACGCGCAGCGGGGUGACCAUCAAAACCUCCCCCGCCGCCGCCGCGGCCGCAGCCUCUGCUUGGGCCCUGGCUGCGGCAUCGGUGAGUGCCUUCGCCGCCUCCUCCUCCCGUGCCGCCUGGGCGGCCGCCGCCCUCCGUGCCUCCGCCUCCCGCGCCUCUUGCUCCGCCCGCGCCUCCCGCGCGUUCCUUUCUGUCGCCUCCUGAAGGUCGGCACGGGGGUCCACGCGGCGGGUGGUGCUCCCAGAGCCUCUCGGCGACUCGACGACGGAGCCGGCAGCCGCCCGCUCAAGCGACAACGGAGCUCUGAUCAUUCGGAAAAAAAAAGAUAAGGUUUCAGGAACCACCAAAGAAAGAAAGAAAGAGAGUACACAAAGAAAAAUUCGGACUUACGCCGACACGGUCUGCGGUUGCUUCACCACCUUGCGGAAGCGAGCCGCCUUCGCGGCCGCCUCUUCCCGCCUGGUGGCUGCCGCCCCGCCUCUGGGCUUCUUCGUUCGGCUACCAAACAGACUCUGGGCGGCGCGACGCUUCUGCCCUCCGCCCCGAGCAGGCGGUGCAGCGGAGGAGCCCGCGCCCCGCCCAGAAGCCGGCUGGCGGCGCGGGGCGACCUCAACUUCGUCGUCGUCCGGCCAGUCGUCGAAGGUGACUCCGAGCCCGGAGCCGCCUGCUUCGCCGCCGGCUUGGCCGCCACCCGGCUCGAUGUUGUCGUCCAUGCCGGCCGCCCCCAGGUCGGGAUCCUCCAGAUCGUGUUCCGUCCGGUCGGGGAUGAAUCGACGCUCUGUGUCUGACCCGCCGGCCGGCCGAAGAAGAGGACUCUGUCAAAAGAACAAGCCGACUAAGUUAGAGUCGGCCAAGAGGAACUCGGCAAUGAAGUUGAGAGAAAAAGAAGACACAGGGAGAGCAUACCGUGGGCGGUGGAUUGGCUCGGCUGUAUGGCUCCUUGCCGAAUUGCCACUCUUCGGAGAGUUUGCAAUUCGCAAGGUAGUUCACCAUAUAGGCGACCUCCUCGCGCGGCAUGUCCUUGGUGCACAUCCGGCUCGGAUCGAGCUGGCCGCUCAUCUGACAGAUCAGAUGAGGACGGCUCUGGAGCGGAAGAACCCGGCGCGUGACGAAGGCGGCCAGAAGGUCAGCCCCCGUCAAGCUCUCCGACUGGGUCAUCACUCGCACUCGGGCGACGGCUGCGGACCCGCCCGGCGUCAGAGUCACAGCCCGGAAGGACCACUGGGGCAGCCUGCCCGCCGGUGGUCCGGCUACGUAAGCCGGCAGGUUGAUGUAGUCGCCCCGUGGGGCGAUGUUCCGCACGUAGAAGUACGACUUCUGCCACUUCUUCACCGAUUGGAUUAGCGGGAUGACGGGGAAGGGAUUGUCGGCGACCGACCUCCGCGAUGAGAUGAAGGCGCCAGUCUGAGCCGGCACGCCCCGCAUGCGCGUGCCCAGCUUCGACUGGAAGAACUCCCCCCAGAGCUCGAGGGUGGGGGGACGCCAAGGUAGCCCUCACACAGGGUGACGAAGGCCGACAGCCGCACCACCGCAUUCGGGGUGAGGUGGUGCGGCUGGAGCUGAUAGAAUUCGAGCCAGGAGCGGAAGAAGGCGCUCGCUGGAAGGCCGAUGCCGCGCAGGAAGUGCGAGCGGAAGACCACCCGCUCGCCCUCCUGCGGCUCCGGCGUGAUUUCCUUCGCCGGCGCGAGGCGGACCUCCACCUUGUCCGCGCCGGGCAGCCGCCGCGUGUUGCGGAGAAACUCGACGUGGUCGUCGUGGACGUUGGAGCCAUCCCAAUCCCCGCCAUGUUGCUCCGUGGCGGGAGGCAUGGCAAAAACAAGCGCGGCGGCGGAGGAAUGCGUAGUGGAAGAGCGCGGCGGCGGAGCGCUGUCGCAAGAACGGGCGAGUGAAGAAGAUGGUGGAAGUAGGAGGAGCGUGCGAGGGCCUGCCGCCCUCCACCUCCCCCUACUUAUAGCCUCGCGAGGCGAGGCCGAAGAGGCCGGACGUGGGGGGGAGACGUGGGAUUAACUGCACCCAUUCCCCCCACGCCCCGCGAUUAUUGCGCGCAAAUGCGAGCCGAAACUGCCGCACGGGACGUGCGGGCGGUUUCGGGAUGUAGAGAAUCCGUGCCUGGGCCAGGGCGCGGACGUGGCAGGCCCCCGCCCUGCGGCGACGUCCCGUCGCGCGCGUGGGCUGGCAGGCUUUCUGGCCGAGGGAGGCCACGUGGUUCGCAGAUGGCAAGUGGCCGGCCCGCGGCCCGGAGCACACGCUAGCGAGCUCCCGCCCUCCGACUCCGGAGUUUUCGACCAAGGCGGCACGCCUAACUGAAGCCGGCUCCCAGCUGCCGACUUGUCAAGAUAGGAAGCUGAUCGAGCUUCUCAACCCCUACUCCACCUCGAAGCCCAAUCAGCUUCGGGGACUACUGUCGGAGUAAAUGGCCACGGGUAGGCUAACCGACUGCCCCUGGUUCUUCUGAAAAAAUUAUCAGGCCUUCGGGCCUCCAAGCACUCCAAGCAUUGGGCCGCCUUCCCUGGCCGGCUACCUCUGAAGCCGACUCCCGGAAGGCGACCCAGCCUCAGCAACCCCUCCCCAGGACGACUACGGGGUGGCCGACUCCAAGAAGCCGACCAAGAGGGACGGCGACUCCAAGAAGCCGGCCAAGACCACAACCACCAAAGCUACCCCCACAUAACGGCGACAAGACGGGGUGUGGCCACAGUGCGGCCCACUACCCCCGAAGCCCGAGGCGGGCAUGGCUACAGGAGGCCGUACGGGACGGCCGUCUCCUGUGCGGCUCGGCACUGUAGCCAUGCUAGCCUCAACGUCAUCCACGACAGACUCCCAUACGGCCCACGGGCGGCGGGCCCCUUCAGCCAGAGAGAGGCGUGAAGGCGGCCCGGCCUUUCCCAGUCGGCCAAGGGCGUAGCUAGCCCCCAGAAGCCGGCUACUCCCUUCCUCGAAGCAGGAGCCCCAUUAAGGAGACAAGACGAGGUAAGGCUACAGUGAGAGCCCCCGAGGCGGCCCACUGUAGCCACGCUUACCUCGACAAAGCCCUCGUCAUCAGAGGCGAGGCUACAGUAAGCAGCCGCCGACAAGACCCUAGGCGGUGGGGCCGGCCUGUCGACCGAGAGGCCGGCAGCCGGCGGGACCCACCAGUCGGCGGGCCCCAACGGCCGGCGGAGAAGCCGGCGAGCGUAGACAUUGACGGCUGGGACCAGUGCCCAGCCGGAUUACCAUUGUACCCCCGGGGGGUAGGCCUAUAUAAACCCCCCGGAGCACCCAUGCAAAGGGUUGGCUUCUAAGCAUAGCACACACACACCAUAGAUUGAGAGAAGCAAGAGCUAGCCUUGUUCUUCUUCUCCCCUGAUCCCAACGGCUCUAGGAGCGAUUGUAGCUACCCAUUCUCGAUCUAGUGAUCAUGCGGAGACCCCGCAGAGCAGGACUAGGGGUGUUAUCUCCUCGGAGAGCCCCGAACCUGGGUAAGAUCCGUCGGCGUGCAUGUCUUCUCCUCAUCCCGUUUCCAGGCACCGGCGAUGUCUUAUUGGCACCCACAAUGAUAAGCCAUCCGUUGGCAUAUGUCGCACCAACCACCCGACACAUGCACUUAUUAUCACAAUAAAAAAACAAUAUCCAUGCUGCAUCCCAGUUAUCAGUCUUUACUUGCAGAAUUCUCUCAUUUAUUGAGCACGUAUAUUGUUUUUUCAGGUCGAGCAAGUUUCAACUGGGCUGUAGACUGCCUAGGGUUGGUUUUGUUUUUAACAGGCCUAGCACAUGACGACAACGGGGCACAAAGAUCCAGCAGGUAUCUACUGGCCUCUGGCCCGCCAGCAUUAGUUAUAUUUUGUCUUACAACAUCCGCAGGCAGUUUUUUUACUGAAUCAAACACACAGCCCAGUUCUAUUUUCCUCUUGAAACGCAUGUCCUACAUCCGUUUUCUAAUCUCUACCUAUAGUUUUACUAGUUCAUAUACACGUAUCAUUAUAUUGAAAACACAUAAAAUUCCCUUUUCAUAUUUACAUCCUUAUUUUUGUUGUUUUUUCCCACCCAGCGCUGAUGAUUUUACCACUGGUUUUCCCUUAAACCAACUCAAUUGUCCCACGUCUUAUUUGCUUACAAAAACAAAACAAUUUUUUUGGCAAAUCAAUAAGUUCUUAAAAAAUUGUUUAUCAUUUUGGGAUUACAACAGUUCGGACUCCACCGAAAUAUGCAAAAUAAGGUUGAACUUUUUGACCGUGGUCCUGGGCAGAAAAUGGGCUGUAAUAAAUUACUUAAGAAUUAGCAAAUGGGCUGCAAAUUAUAAAAAAUAGCGAAUGGGCUUUAUGUUGUCUGCCACAUAUUUGGAGGCUGACUUGUGGGCCUACUAAGUUCAUGUGUACACAAGGUUUCUCAAAAAAGAAACUUAGUCAACAAUCGAGUCUACCAGCGUCAGACCGUUAGAUGUCAAUCUAACGGCAAUCGUGCUUCUUCAGUCCCUCAUCUUCCUGCCCCAGCCGCCCAAACCAGCGCCGUCGGAACCGCCUGCUCCCGCCUCCCAUGGCCGGCAGUGCUGCCGGGCAGGCCUCACAGCCCCAUCAUACUCGCAUCCCUGGCCUGUCUAUCCCUCUACUCACCCACACCUCCUGUUAUUUUCCGGCGACGGCAGCCGAACCAGUCAACCCUCGUACUCUCCACCGCGUGGGCAGCCACUGCCGUGUCUUCCCCGGCAACGUGUCGUUCCCUUCGUAGGCCUCGCCGUCGUCCAUCGCCCUGGUGCUCUCGGCGCGGCGUGGUCAACGAUGUCCAUCCAACGGUCGUAGUGCUUCUUCAACCUCUGGUCUUCUUGCCCCAGCCGCCCAAAGCAGCGCCGGUCAUGCCGCAUGCUCCUGCCUCCCGUGGCCGGCUGUGCUGCCGCGGAGGCCUCACCGUCCCCAUACUACUCCCAGCGCUGGCAAGGCCAUCCCUCCACUCACCCACUCCCCCUGUUAUUCUGCGGCGACGGCAGCCUCACACCGCAGCCGAACCAGUGAACCCUCGUACUCCUCUCCGCAUGGGCAUCCACUGUCGCGUCUUCCCCGGCUCCGCGUCGUCCCCUUCCUAGGCCUCGCCGUCGUCCACCGCCGUGGUGCUCUCGGCGCGCCGUGGUCAAUGUGGUCAACGACCGACUUAUAUCGGAAGAGUACUGUACGUGGAGAGGCUGACAGCUGGGUCCACGGCUGCCGCAAGGAAGUGCCUCCUUAUUACGCGCAAAUUAAUUAUUCCUCCACCUGACAGUAGGGACCCACCGGACGGGCCACCAGUAUUUCACGGAAAAAACGUUUCCCCCCUGACUGCUGGGACCCACCGGACGGGCCACCGUAUUUCAUGAAAAAACGUUUGCCCCUGACUGCUGGGACCCACCGGACGGACCACCGUAUUUUGCGAAAAAAUGUUCACCCCGCUGUCAGCUCGGACCCACCGGAAGUGCCUCCUUAUUACGCACAGAAAAAUGAAUACUCCCCCUGCUAGCUGGGACCCACCAUUGUGGGAGGCUGACUUGUGGGCCUACUAAGUUGACGGGGACGGACGGCUUUGUCAACUUAGUCAAUAUGAACGAUUCUAGCUCCAGUGACCGUAUGAUGUCCAUCCAACGGCCGUCGUGCUUCUUCAAUCUCUGGUCUUCCUGCUCCAGUCGCUCAAACAAGCGCCGGCGGGACUGCCUGCUCCCUCCUCCCCGCGGUCGGCUCUGCUGCCGCGCAGGCCUCACCGCCCCACCGUACUCCCAUCGCUGGCCUAGCCAUCCCUCUACUCACCCACACCUGCUGUUAUUCUCCGGCGACGGCAGACGAACCAGUAAACCCUCGUACAGUCGUACUCCAUCCCGCGUGGGAAACAACUGCCGAGUCUUCCCUGCCUCCGUGUCGUUCCCUUCCUAGGCCUCGCCGUCGUCCACCGCCCUGGUGCUCUUGGCGCGGCCUGGUCAACGUGGUCAACGACCGACAUGCAUCUGAAGUGGACUGUACGUGGAGAGGCCGAUAGCUGGGUCCACGGCCGCACGCAAGGAAAUGCCUCCUUAUUACGUGCAAAAUAAUGAUUCCUCCACCUGACAUCAGGGACCCACCAAAAGGGCCUCUGUAUUUCGUGAAAAAAAGGUUACCGCCGCUGACAGCUCGGACCCACCAGCUAUAUCUUCGCACGCAAGGAAGUGCCUCCUUAUUACGCACAAAAAAAUGAAUACUCGCCCUGUUAGCUGGGACCCAGUAUAGUGGCAGGCUGACUUGUGGGCCUACUAAGUUGACGGGGAUGGAGGGCUUUGUCAACUUAGUCAAUAUGCACGAUUCUAGCUCCAGUGACCGUACGAUGUCCAUCCAACGGCCGUAGUGCUUCUUCAACCUCUGGUCUUCUUGCUCUAGCCGCCCAAACCAGCGCCGGUCGUGCCUCGUGCUCCUGCCUCCCGUGGCCGUCUGCGAAGCGGCGGAGGCCUCACCGCCCCCUACUACUCCCACCGCUGGCCAGGCCAUCCCUCUACUCACCCACACCCCCUGUUAUUCUGCAGCGACGGCAGCCUAACACCGCAGCGAACCAGUGAACCCUCGUACUCCUCUACGCGUGGGCAUCCACUGCCGCGUCUUCCCCGGCUCCGCGUCGUCCCCUUCCUAGGCCUCGCCGUCGUCCACCGCCCUGGUGCUCUCGGCGCGGCGUGGUCAACGUGGUCAAGGAAUGGCUUCCAUCGGACGUGGACUGUACGUGGAGAGGCUGACAGCUGGGUCCACGGCCGCAGCAAGGAAGUGCCUCCUUAUUACGUGCAAAAUAAUUAUUCCUCCACCUGACAACGGGGACCCACCGGACGGGCCACCGUAUUUCAUGAAAAAAACGUUUCGCCCCUGACUGCUGGGACCCACCAACUACACCUUCGCACGCAAGGAAGUGCGUCCGGGCAAAAAAACAAAACGAUUCGCCCCACUGACUGCUGGGACCCACCAGCUACAUCUUCGCACGCAAGGAAGUUCCUGACAGUCGGGACCCACCUGGUCAAAGCGUACGUAGCGUUGUCAUUCUGGUCGCGAACGUGUACGUACAUAUAUACUGGUGGAUGUAGAGGCGUGCACGUGUCAUAGUAGAGGCGCGUACGUGUCGUAGUAGGGGCGCGCAUGUAGCAUGUACACGUACUUACAGUGGCCAGGGUGCAAGAAAGAAAAUACGGCCACGUAUGUGUACAUACGGGCGGGGUCUCGAACGCCUACUCGUGCAUACGUACGGCCAGGGCUCGUGUACAUGGCUGGGUCGGAACGGAGAAACAGCGUCGUCGUCGUGUUCAUGGGGAGGCAACGGAAUGCGUCGUGUUCAUCGGGAGGCAACGGAACGCGUGGGAGCCAACCGGUUGGGUCAGAACGGAAUGCGUGGUCGUGUUCAUCGGGAGGGCUUGGACGGAACAGGCGAUGGAAACGAGGCCUGGCGUACCGCAGAACGGAGGAAACGGACCUCCUACAGUCAAAACGGGGGUCCUGUUGAUCGGGAGGGGUGUGGCGUACCGCAAAACGGAAGAAACGGACCUCCUACGGUCGAAACGGGGGUCCUGNNNNNNNNNNNNNNNNNNNNNNNNNNNNNNNNNNNNNNNNNNNNNNNNNNNNNNNNNNNNNNNNNNNNNNNNNNNNNNNNNNNNNNNNNNNNNNNNNNNNNNNNNNNNNNNNNNNNNNNNNNNNNNNNNNNNNNNNNNNNNNNNNNNNNNNNNNNNNNNNNNNNNNNNNNNNNNNNNNNNNNNNNNNNNNNNNNNNNNNNNNNNNNNNNNNNNNNNNNNNNNNNNNNNNNNNNNNNNNNNNNNNNNNNNNNNNNNNNNNNNNNNNNNNNNNNNNNNNNNNNNNNNNNNNNNNNNNNNNNNNNNNNNNNNNNNNNNNNNNNNNNNNNNNNNNNNNNNNNNNNNNNNNNNNNNNNNNNNNNNNNNNNNNNNNNNNNNNNNNNNNNNNNNNNNNNNNNNNNNNNNNNNNNNNNNNNNNNNNNNNNNNNNNNNNNNNNNNNNNNNNNNNNNNNNNNNNNNNNNNNNNNNNNNNNNNNNNNNNNNNNNNNNNNNNNNNNNNNNNNNNNNNNNNNNNNNNNNNNNNNNNNNNNNNNNNNNNNNNNNNNNNNNNNCCCCGCAACGCUCACUGUUCAUCCAAUCGAUCGGCUUCAGUUAGCAGCAGUAGCGAAGGAAUCGCUCGAUCGGGUUCAGUUAACAGCCAUCGAUCGAUCGCUCGGGUUCAGUAACGCGUAGCCUGCAGUGCAAUCGCUCGGGUUCAGUUAGAGCCCAAUGCCUCGCUCGGGUUCAGUUAGAGCCAACGCCUCGCACACACGCGCGUACAUGUACGAGAGAAACGCGCAUCGCUCGGCCCCCGACCUCCCACCGUAACCGGGAACUCCCCGAAAUUUUCCUCGCCCUCGCUUCUACCACGGUUUUUUCCGUCAUGGACGGCCCAAAGAAUGUCAUGCAGCUGCGUCUUCGGCCCGCCCAGGACGAAAAGCCCAUUUACUGUCAUGAUUUUUUGUCGUAGAAGUAGGAGCCCACCACAUCUAUGAUGAUACCGGGUUUUGUCACAAUUAUCGUCAUAGAAGUGUUAUAUGUAUGACAGAAAAAAAUUCGUUCGGCCCAAAAUGUCACGGAUGUGUCUUUUUUUGUAGUGCUCCCCAUGUAACCCACAAGUAUAGGGGAUCACAACAGUUUUCGAGGGUAGAGUAUUCAACCCAAAUUUAUAGAUUCGACACAAGGGGAGCCAAAGCAUAUUUGCAAGUAUCAGCAGCUGAGUUGUCAAUUCAGCCACACCUAGAGAUUAAUUAUCUGCAGCAAAGUGAUCAGUAGCAAAGUAGUAUGAUAGUUUUGAUAGUAGUGACAGCAGCAAUAGUAACGGUAACAGUGAUAGCAGUAUUUUUGUAGCAAGUGCAAUAGUAAUGAUAGCACUAGUAACUUAGCAAGAACAAUAAAGGAUAAAUUCAUAGGUAUUGGAUCGAUGAUUUGAUGGAUGAUAUUCAUCAUGUGACAGUCAUAAUCUAGGGCCAUACGGCACUAGCUCCAGUUCAUAAAUAUAAUAUAGGCAUGUAUUCCGUAAAUAGUCAUACGUGCUUAUGGAAAGAACUUGCAUGACAUCUUUUGUCCUACCCUCCCAUAGCAGUGGGGUCCAAUUGGAAACUAUGGUAUGUUAAGUCCUCCUUUUAAUAGAGAACCGGAACAAAGGUUUAACACACGGUGAAUACAUGAACUCCUCAAACUACGGUCAUCAGUGGGAGUGGUCCCAACUAUUGUCACUCCGGGGUUGCCGGAUCAUAGCACGUAGUAGGUGACUAUAACUUGCAAGAUGAGAUCUAGAACAUGGAUAUAAUGGUGAUAACAUAAACAGUUCAGAUCUGAAAUCAUGGCACCCGGGCCCAAAGUGACAAGCAUUAAGCAUGGCAAAGUCAUAGCAACAUCAAUCUCAGAAGAUAGUGGAUAUUAGGGAUCAAGCCCUAACAAAACUAACUAGAUUACAUGAUGAAUUUCAUCCAACUCCUCACCGACCAUCGAGCAUGCGAAGGAAUUACUCACUCCCGGGGGGGAGCAUCAUGGAAUUGGCGAUGGAGAAUGGUUGGUGAUGACGAAGAACGAAGAUCCCCCUCUCCGGAGCCCCAAACGGACUCCAGAUCUGGCCUCCCGAUGAAGAACACGAGGUGACGAUGGCUCCGUCUCGUGGAUCAUGAUAAUUCUUUCUCCCUGAUUUUUUCGUGAAAAAUAUGAUUUUAUUGCGUCGGUUUCAGGGUCUGCGGGGCCACCAGGUGGGGAAAACCCACCUGGGCGCGCCUGGAGGGGACGCACCCUGGUGGGUUGUGCUCACCCAGGUGCCCCCCUCCGGUGGAUCUUGGCUUGAGAAAUUCUCUUUAUCGAUAUUCGCAAAGUUUCGUUCCAUUCUGAGAACUUCUAUUUCUGCACAAAAACAACACCAUAGUAGUUCUGCUGAAAACAGCGUCAGUCCGGGGUUUGUUUCAUUCAAAUCAUGCAAAUUAGAGUCCAAAACAAGAGGAAAAGCGUUGGGAAAAGUAGAUAUGUUGGAGACAUAUCAACUCCCCCAAGCUUGAACCUUUGCUUGUCCUCAAGCAAUUCAGUUGAUAAACUGGAUGUGAAAGAGAGAGAAAAUUACGAACACUUUUUCUCUUGUGCAUAAAUAAGCUUAAACAGCACCCUUGUUUUCAGCCAGUAUUACAACUAACCAUGUCGACAAUAACUCUUAAAAAUUAUAUUAACUCAUAUCAAUGACAUAAUCAGCUAGCGAGCAAUAAUGAGAUAUCUCAAAUAGCAACACGUUAUCAAAAGAACCAUGAUAUAAUAUGACAAUAGUGUUAUCUCGCUAGCCCUUUCUGAGACCGCAAAACAUAAAUGCAGAGCACCUCCAAAGUUCAAACAGCGACUACACAUUGUAAUUCAUGGUAGAAAAGAUCCAGUCAUGAUGCACCCAACAUUAGCUACACACAAUGCAUCAGCAUGACAACAGUGCUCUCAGGUUCUGGCGCUUAUUUUAGAAGGUGAUGACACAACAUAAAAGUAAAUAGAAAGUCCCUUCGCAGAGGGAAGCAGUGAUUUGCAGCGGUGCUAGAGCUCAUGUUUUUAAAACAGAGGUAAAUGAUUUUUUUUUGAGAAAUGCACCCUUCUUGUUUACUUCACGACCAUCAGUUAUCAAUAUCUUCCAUGCUAAGCAAGCUAGUGGUGGUUCCCAAGCAAUAAAAGUAAAGGUUUACUCCCCCUCCACCAAUAGUCACCCUCCACGGCUUGUCCGAAACAACGGGUGUCGUCCAUACGAACAACAGUUCCACGGGAGUUUUGUUUAAUUAUUUGCAUUUUUUAGUUCGAGACUGGGAAUCCCUAUUACCGCCCUUUUCUCGUACGAUGGUGAAUGAAUAAACACUCAACCUGAGAAUAAACCGUUUAACAUGGAAGAUACCAACCACCUCCUGUCAUUCCAUGAACGAUCCAGGCACACAAAAAGGAUAUAUAUUUGAAGUUUUUAGAGGUGGCACAUGCAAAUUUACUUAGGACGGCAGGGUAAUACCGCAUAUAGGUAGGUAUGGUGGACUUAUCUGGAAUAACUUGGGUUCAAAGUUUUUGAUGUACAAGCAGAAUUCCCACUUAGUACAGGUGAAGGCUAGCAAAUAGGUUGAGAAGUGGCCAGCUAGAGAGCAACAACGGUCAUGAACAUGCAUUAAGCAUAAGUAACAUUGGACACUAGCAUGAGUAGGAUAUGAACACCAUGAACCUAAAUAUCAUAGAGGGUAUGUUGGUUUUGAUUCAACUACAUGCAUGAACAUGUGCCAAGUCAAGCCACUCGAACAUUCAGAGGAGGAUACCAUAUCAUCAUCCUACAUCACAAUCAUUUUAAAGAAAUGUUGAUAUCCAAGAUAAAUCAUUAUCCGUUCCUAGCUACUUAUGCAUGGCAUGAGAAACUAUAAUCUCUAAUUUUCAUUGCAAACAUGUUGAAUCAUAAUGGGCUAAAUCAUGGAUACUAGGUUAAACAUAUUUAUAAAAAUAGAACAAGUCGAGUUCAUACCCGUUUCUCUCUGCCACGGCCAGUUCAUCAAAUAUCAUCAUUAUUGCCUUUCACUUUCACGACCGAACAAUGUAAAAAUAAUAACAGUGCAAGAGUGCUGUGGACUAAGCUGGAAUCUGCAAACAUUUUAUUCAACAGGAGAAGACAAGGUAAUAUGGGCUCUUUGUUAGAUCAAUAAUUCUGCAUAAGAGAGUCACUCAACAUUUUCAUCAUGGUCUUCUCCUUGCUAUGACUCGAAUGAAAAGAAUAGAAACUCAGAGAAACAUACUGAAAUAUUUUUAGAGUUUUUGGUUUUCUUGAUCAAGCAAAUAAAAGGGAAAAGCAAAAACGAGAAAAACUAUUUACACGGGAAAGCUCCCAACAAGCAAAAGAAGAACAAGGAAAUCUUUUUUGGUUUUCUUUUUAGUGCUACAGCUAACUACUCUAGGAAGAAGAAUAAAAAAGAUGCAGGGAAUAUUUUUGGAUUUUCUCAAAGUUUUUCAAACACACAAGAAGAAAGCGAGAAAAUAAAUUUAACAUGGAUAAUACAAUGAAAAAGUGUGGACACCGACAAUUGGAAUGAUAUGUGUGAACAUGAAUGUAAGGUCGGUGGGAAUACGUACUCCCCCAAGCUUAGGCUUUUGGCCUAACUUGGUAAGCAGUCAGUAGCCUGGAUAGUAGUCAGAGUGGCAGCUCACGGAGGCUCUCGGUGCGGAUGCCUCGGCCUGCCGUGCCGCCUCAACUGCCGCAUUGCGCGCUCGGGCCUUGCUCUCAAGAACAAAAUACUUUCCCUUGCUAUGGUAAUCAAAGAGAGCAGGCGCAAGCAAAUAUGUGUACAACACAGAUUCUUGGUUAAACAACAAUUUAUAGGUGAAAUUAUGAAUAUCUCCUUUAAGGAUCUUAUGAUGUUUCAUAGCAUCAAAGUCUAAAUACUACAUGGGUAGAAUAGGGUCAUAGGGCAAAGGUGAAACACCCAGCUCUCUUGCUAAACGUGUGGCAUAAAUUCCACCAUAGAAAUAGCACUAUUAGCAUUGUGUUGCAACCUACCCGCAACAAUCGCUCCAAGAUUAUAACUCGUAUCACCGGUGAGAGCGGUGCGUAUGAGGCUCAAGUCUGGAGCACAAAGUGUACUACAAUCUUGUUUGCCUACAAUACAUUUCCCAUUAAAUAAAGCAAAGUACUGAAUUGCGGGAAAAUGAAUGCUCUUUAUUCUACCUUGCGUCACUCCCCUCGUCUCACCGUAGCAAAGAAUAGUCAAAAAUGAUUGGUACUCAGCCCUUGGUGGUUCGUCAAGCGAACCACAGAAUAGGAUUUUGCAGUGGUGAGCAAAACUCUCUAGUGAUAUAGUAAAUGAAUUUUCAUAAAGUUUAAAUGACAUCCUAGACUCCCGGGGAUGCACUACUACAGGAUGCUGCUAACGCGACACUACGAUCAGAGACCCUUCGACGAAACUGUGUGCGAUGCAAUAAUCGCAAACGGUGGUGUAAAAAACCGUCAAAAAGGGUGCAAAACAUUUGAGAUGACGGAUGCAUCAAACACGAUUCAGAUUUAGUGGCGUGUGCGAUGCAGGGCAUACAGUUUAGUUUAAUUAACUAUUUGCGAUGAUGAGGAACAAAAGAAACGGGCAACCAGAUGAAGAUGUGUGCAAUAUACAGCAUACGGUUCACUCGGAUGAACUGUUUGUGAUUAGGCAACAGAAAAGAAAUGGUCAGUCAGAUCAAGGUGUGUGCGAUAUACGACAUGCGGUUCACUCGGAUGAACUGUUUGCUUUGAGCCAAGAGAACAGAAACGGUUCAAUAUAACAAGAUGUGUGUGAUACGCGGCAAAUAGGUCUAUAAUCAGAAAUGUGUGCAAAUAGGUCUAUAAUCAGAAAUGUAUAAAAAGGCGAAACAAACCGUGAAUAAUUUCAUAUUUUUAGGAUGACGCUACUAUAUAUAGUUGCAUGUUGCCGCUGUAAAAUAAAUCAAGGUGGGAAGAGACUGUGUAUGUCGUUUCGCACACAUAGGUGACAAGGUCCCUCUUGGAACCAUGAGCCUUUUUGAGAGAAGCUCCGGUUUGUAAGAAGUUUGUAACCAAACUUGUCCCAAAUUGGACUAAUUUUUUACCACAACAUGUUGGUGGUAUGUCAUAACACCAUGCCAAGUUUCAUGAUUUUGAGGCGAGUUUUGGAUUUACAGUAAUUUUAAAACCAGGUUUCUCAAUGUUUACUGUCGAGUCGGCACCGCCCUAGAUAAGCUUUUUCCUCGUGGGUCCCAAAUGAAAAAUCCAAAUCUGUCACUACCAUGCAACUUUUCUUAUUAAGAAUUACAGCCCAUUUGGUGUGCUAGCUGAAAAUAAUUUUGUGGGUGCUUGUGGGCGCUAAGAACUUGCGGGUUCUGUAAUGAACAAAGAUCUCGAGGAUCCCGCGAGAGUGAUGUUCUUUCCCUAUGUUGUGAGUGCUUAUAAUAUUUAUGUCUUAAUUAAAGAAGUGGCAAGCUAUUGGCCCAAUAUGAAAGAAAAUAUGGGUCAAAACCGAGUUGAAAAGGGAAACAAUAUCUAACUCUAGCUUACAAACUGUACAAAAGCAUGAGGAUUAAUUGCUCGUCAGGUUUAGACAAAAUCCAGAUUGAACAGGACAAUGACAUCUAACUCAACCGAAGUUUUCGACAGUCACAAUCAAAUGGAUCGGUCUGGCCCAUAAAAUCAAGAUCCCCGGCCAGAAAUUCUACAGGUACAUGAUGACAAGUUGUUGUAAAUAGAAGCCGAGCACGAUCAGAAGCCCUUAGGUCCACCUGAAACUUCUUUUUAUGUUGUUCAACACUUGCAGCCGUAAGAAAUUUCUUGUCGAAAAACAUAAUCCUCACGGACAAUAGUGCCCUCGCAUUCAACAUGAAGAAUGUGACAAAGCUAGUGUUUGCAUUGUUGGAUGCAUAUCCUUCCAGUGUUACUGUCUUCAAACGAAUGUCAUGAGAUCUGAGAAAAUCCCGGUGCUUCUUGAACCAUCGAUUGGUUAUACCUUUUUCUCCAUGUGUUAGUGCCUAAAUAGAGAUGAAGAUUGAAAACAGUUAGUGUCUAAAAAAUAUCAUGUUGAAAGAGUGAUAGCUGAACGAUUAAUUAUAGUACAUUAUAUAUGGGCUUUCAAUGUGCAUGAAAUCAUCACCUUUAUAUAUAAAUUCUCCAGACAUGGAAAGCAUUGCAGCAAGCCAAUAAUCGUGUUUAGAUCAAAACACCACAUACUGAUAUGUAAGGUCUUGACAGAAUCCACCACCACUGAUAGGAUGGACAAGCUCUUCAUUGAGCAUAGAACAUAAUAUUAGUACCAAAAGUGUACUCCAAGAUGAUACUUAACUUAUGCGCACAAAUGAAAAAGGAAGAUUACAAAAGUUUGCGUGAAUAAUAUAUAGUACCUCAAUAGGUGUGGAGCCAAACACCAUCUUGAACCAUCUAAAAGGAUCACGAAUUGCACCCAAGGUCUCAAGUUUAGGCGUAGAGACUAUAGUUAUUUGCGAAGGUACUAUACCAGAAUCAAGGAGCAACCUUUGAAGUGAAGGGGCAUCUUCGAUGAUGAGAUGAUGUCCAAAAAAACAAAUUCCCGUGCUUACAAGGUGGGGCGACUUUAUUCUGAGACAACGGAUAUGAAUUUUCCGUUGCAAAAACAACCAGCAAGCGCAGCAGGGCAGGGCAGCUAGAGUGGAUGAUGCUGUGUAGUGCGGCCUCCGACAGAUCAACCACCACAAGCGCAAGUUUUUUUAGCAGUGGGAGUUGAAGCAUUUGUACCAGAUUGUCUGCUAGAUGGCACCGAGCAAAGGUGGCGGUGUGGAGAGAGGAGGAAAACCACGUGAUGGACAUUGGUGGUGAGGCCACUGAUACAUCGGUUUGUGGAAUGUUACAUACAUUGUCAUGGUAGAACACAAGCUGCUGGAGUUUAUGGAAUUGACGGGAUGUCAGCCAGGCGGCCACCAUGCAGGGUAUGUCCAGCAGGUAGCAUGCCGGGAUGCAGAUGCGUUGAACGGAGCCCUGGUGGGAGGAGAUGAUGGCUCCGGGGAGUUCAGAAUCAUCUUCGAGAGAUAGCUGACGACAGUCGAGAUUAAGAGGCGCGGUGCGCCACAGAGUGCGCCACUGAGAUGCGAGGACUUGUGUGCGGCAGCCAUCCUGGGUGGGGAGAAGGGAGAUGAUCUCCCCAAGGAUUCCGUCCGGGAGAUCGCUGAUGCGGUCCGCCAGAGAUUCUACUGGUUCCUCAGGUCCAGGGGCGCUUCUAGCCGCACAGCCGGGUCCAAGAUCUACCUCGGCGGUGGCGCUGGCCGGAGCCUCAUCUGUGUACAUACCAAUCUGAAAGAAAAAAAUGGCAUAACAUGUAGGACAUUCGAAAUCAAUUCUCAAGAUCAGGAAGAAAAAAGGCACAAACAUAUAUGUAGGACAUUCAAAAUCAAUUCUCAAGAUCUGGCCACGAAUCAUUAGCACACAAGCUAACCCUAGUCGGAUUAUUAGAAAAAAAACAUUUGUACAGAACAAACAAUUAAUCACUGACUCCAUACGGAUAACAUUCAAACAAUCAAUACACUACGUGCAUCUAACGGAUCUUAAUUACUCUGAUUUCAUGGACUGAGAGAACAUAACCAUAGGAUUUGUAUUCCAGAAACACAUGAUAUGUUUGCCGCACAAAUGGGUACAUAGAUGAUUAACCAGUUUUCCGUCGGAGUCACAGUCGUUGCCAGAGAUGCUGUUGACCUCCGGCUCCGGCUGGGGGGGGGCACGACGGCGCCGACGAAGUCAAGGUCGUGCUGCCGCCCGCACGAGACCUCGUCGGCAGCGACGGAAACCUCUGUGCCCAGCUUCACGCGUUGCGGGGGUGCUUCACCAGCCCCGUCGUCGCCACUCCCUCCGAAGGUGCGCUUCGGUGGCAUCGUCACACACUCCAGAGUCCAGACGUUGGUGAGCACCGUGGACCAGGGGUGCAGCCGCCUAUUAUGGCCGGCAGCUCGGGCGCGCAAUUAAUACGGACCAGUGGGAGCGAGGCAGGUUGCGGUCAAAAGCUGCCUCGCCUCCCGGUGAGCCUGCGCGACGGACUUCUGCCAUUGCUACCAUCAUUUCACACAACUACUCCCUUGCCUCCCCGUCAAUACGCACACCUGCACGCACGCCUCCCGGUAUGCCUGCACGGCGGACUGCUCACAUGCGUCCCAUCAACUCACGCCUGCUCGCACGGCACACGGGGUGUGUGGCAGCACGUAUAUCUUUUGGUUUAUUUUCUAUCGCUUUACUGCUUAACUGAACCGUUUGCGUUGAAGAGAUGCAAAAAUCCUGCGUUGAACAGCUCGCAUGCUUCCCGGUGAACCUGCGCACCGGACGAGUUUUGGAUUUACUAGAAUUUAAAAACCAGGUAUGUCAACGUUUUUGCUGGCAAUCAACAGUGCCCUGGUGUUUGAAAUUCAUUCCCAUUUCUUGCAUGGGACCUGAGCAUGCACCCAAGGAUACGUAUUUGAUUUUUCAACCAAUUUAUAUGCAAAGGAGCAUGUGCAUGUAUUUCAAAUUUGAAUUAUGCACAUAAAAUGCCUAGAGAGCCCUGUUAAUGUAUAAAAAUGUCUAAACGAGCCCCAAAAAAUUCCAAAACUUAACACAACACUCCUGUUGUUCUAUGUUGACACCAGAAAAUUUUUGAAAGCAAUAAGAGGCAACAGAUAUUGUUUCGUCCCCAAAGGUGGCACGUUCCCUACCGAAACCACCAGGCUUGUUCUGAGAAGCUCUGGUUUGUGAGAAGCUUAUACCCAAACCUGCCCAAAAUGGGAGAAAUUUUUUACCACGGCAUGUUGAUGCCGCUCCAUGAUACCAUGCCAAGUUUCAUGAAUUUCAGACGAGUUUUGGAUUUACUAGAAUUUGAAAACCAGGUAUAUCAACGUUUUGUCGGCAAUCAACAGUGCCCUAAUGUUUGAAAUCCAUUCCCAUUUCUUGCAUGGGACCUAAUUAAGCAUGCACCCAAGGACACAUAUUUUAUUUUUAAACCAAUUUAUAUGCAUUUGAGCAUGUGCAUGUAUUUCAAAUUUGAAUUAUGCACAUAAAAUGCCUAGAAAACCCAGUUACUGUAUAAAAAUGUCCAAACAAGCCCCGAAAAAUUCCAAAACUUAACACAACACUCCUGUUGUUCUAUGUUGACACUACAAAAAAUUUGAAAGCAAUAAGAGGCAACGGAUAUCGUUUCGUCCCCAAAAGUGGCACGUUCCCUACCAAAACUACCAGGCUUGUUCUGAGAAGCUCUGGUUUGCGAGAAGCUUAUACCCAAACUUGCCCCAAAUGGGACAAAUUUACCACGGCAUGUUGAUGCCGCUCCAUGAUACCAUGCCAAGUUUCAUGAAUUUUAGACGAGUUUUGGAUUUACUAGAAUUUAGAAACCAGGUAUCCCAACGUUUUGCCCGCAAUCAAUAGUGCCCUGGUGUUUGAAAUUCAUUCCCAUUUCUUGCAUGGGACCUAAGGAUGCACCCAAGGACACAUAUUUGAUUUUUCAACCAAUUUAUAUGCACUGGAGCAUGUGCAUGUAUUUCAAAUUUGAAUUAUGCACAUAAAAUGCCUAGAAAACUCAGUUAAUGUAUAAAAAUGUCCAAACGAACCCCAAAAAUUCCAAAACUUAACACAACACUCAUGUUGUUCUAUGUUGACACUAGAAAUUUUUUGAAAGCAAUAAGAGGCAACGGAUAUCGUUUCGUCCCUAAAGGUGCCGUGGUGUUCGAAAUUCAUCCCCAUUUCUUGCAUGGGACAUAAGCAUAAACCCAUGGACAUAAGCAGAUAAAAGGUCUAGCAAUUCAAACACCGUCCAUUGCCGCUGUGACCCUAUUAUGUAAUUCAAAUCAAGAUCAAAAAUAAAGUAGAUCCCACACAGUUUAUUAUCACCAACCGUGUGAGAUGCAGUACAAAAUAUCCUGGAGCACCAUCAGUGUAUAGUACGCCUAUAGCUUACUCGAGAAGGUGCGUCGGCUACAGUCCACAGUAUUACUACCUCGUAAUCUUGAAAAUAUCUACCGCCUGGAAGGUUUUAAUGUUUGAUAGCACAUGAUUAGUAUGUGCAGACCGUGUGCGAUAUCUGAUACUCCCGCUCUACUUCAGUCCCUUGAUUCAAACUUUUAGUAGCCCCGGCAUUUUUCUCCCGCCUCUACAUCCCUCGCACAUGAAAUCGAAGCAAGGCAGCGGAAAUCACAUUGAAUGCAAUGUGUUCUCUACUUUCGUAUCUCCAUGUUGAAAAAAACUAUUAGCAAAACAUGAGGAGAGAGAAAAAGCUGGUUGAGGCUCAGACUCAACCAUCUGUGCUUUGCAGAUGAUCUUUUUUUUAGCGGUGGUGAUCUGAAUUCUAUCCAAGAGCUUACUAGUAUCAUGACUCAUUUUAACAGAGUGUUUGUGCUUUCAGUUAAUGCCAAAAAAGUAAGAUCUUCUUCAGUGGUAUUUCCUUUUCUUUGAAACAAACUAUUUUUGAGUGUGUCUUUAAUGAAGGGAUUUUACCAGUGAAAUACCUAUACCCUCCAUUCAUUUCCUUUUCUUUCAAGGCUAGCUCCCUCUGUAGCCGGUGGUUGACUCAAAAAUAUCUGCUCGCCCUUGAUCCAAAUUUUCAGUAGGCCCCGCCUUGUUACUCCCGCCUAGUAAAAUUUUCAGUUGCGGCAGUAUUUCCUCGAACACCACCUUGGCCCCCCCUCCACACACACACCACACUUCCCAAAACCUCCGCUCUCACAAAAACACACCACCCCCGAAAGCAUUGGUAGGUCGCCACCAUCGCCGGCGCCUUCAUCCUCAACCUCUGCCUGUGUGCCGGGGACCUCGAGGAGCCAAUGGCCAAAAAGAGGUUUAUCGCGGCCUUUUCGCCCGACGCCCGCGAGGUGGCUGCCGAGAUGUCCCCGUCAUCCUCCGCUGGCUCGAUCCGCCGUCGGCGGUCCCCCGAUCCGCCCGCCGCCGUGCCCCUACACCGGUUCGAGGACUUCCCCGUCCUCCCUCGGACCCGGCAGCCAACGAGGUCCUACCUCGGGGUCCGGCAGCGGCGGUGGGGGACGUGGGUCGCUGAGAUUACAGAUCAGGAGACCCACACCCGCCGGUGGAUCGGUAGCUUCCACACGGUCGAGCUCGCGGCCAUGGAGUAUGACUGCUGGCAGGUCCACUACCAUGGCGCGGCGGCUAGGCUCAAUUUCCCCUUUGGCACACGUCCGGUCGACCUCGUUCCACCGGAGCCAGGGUGGUGAGCUCGGCUAUGGCACGGGAGGACUGCGAGGCGUGGGAGCGCCUCGAGGCCGAGGCCGCGGCCGAGGCUUACAUGCAAGAUCUCCGCCGACAGCACCGGGAGCUCGUGGAGGCGGAGCAGGCGAUCUUUGUCUGUGCGUAGGGCGGCGAGGUUAUCGAGCUCUCCUCCGAUGACGAGGUCGAAAGCGGCGAGGACGGCGGUGCGGAGGGCGGCGAGGUUAUCGCGCUCUCCUCCGAUGACGAGGUCGAAGGCGGUGGUGACGGUGCUGCGGAGCACGUCGAGGUGGGCCUCGAGGACAAAGAGAUCGACGUCAACGAGUGGAGGAGUGCCUUCCCCAAUGACCCCGACGACGGCACCGUUCCGGAUCCGGCUCGCGACACGCCGUACAUACCGAGGAAUGAUUGACUCGACCUCUACUUUGACCGAAAGUAAUUUAGCUUAGUUUAAAUUUAUGUUUUAUGUUCGGUUAUGCAAAACUAUCUACGUUUGUGUUUGAAUGCAUGCUACUUUUGGUUGAACCUGCUUUGAACUUGAUCAAAUUGAAGUUUACAACCUUAAGUUUAGGGGAUCAACUAGAAAAGACCAAAAAUUGCUGGAGUAUAUAUAUAUAUCCACUAAGGGUUUUAGUCCUUUAACUUUUUAAGGAUCGGCUAGAGAUGGCCUCGUGACUUGUUUAUUUCAUCAAUAACAGUUUCAACAAUACCACUAUGAACUACGAUAUUUGGUUGCUGUUAAGGAUAUUGCAGUUAACAUGCCUUUUCAUUUUUUUAACCAUAACUAGUGUACUUCAGACCUGCACAAUACCAGUUUGAAUGACUAUUUGCUUGUUUUUUAAAUGUUAUGCCUCAUGCAGUUAACACACCUUUCCACUUCUUGUUUUGCUUAACUAGCAUGCUUAAUCCUGCAUACUAAAGCUAUCAUUUGUAGAUUAUGUUGUCUACCAUGGAUAUAUUUGGUUGAUGUUUAGCCUGUUGUGCUUAACAUGCCUUUAUAUGUACUCAUACAGGACAAUAUUGAGAAUAGUGUUGAUUUCCAUCGAGGUUCGUUUCAUCGCAUUGCUUAUAUGUACUCACUGUUCAGGAUAUCGGUAGCUGGUACCAUUUAGCCUGGGCUGAUAAGGAAUUAAUCGUCGAAUUGGACAUUUCACUGAAUAUAUCUAUAACCCAUUUAUCAGUAGGUUAACUAGGGCCAUAUUUAAUAUAUCUGAGGCUACAUAGCAACAUGCAUUGUACUGAAUGACUAAAUAUGCAAUCACAGGCUACAUAGCAACAAGGAAGAGUGUUACCUUAAUGUUCUGAUGAUGUCUAGAUAUACAUGUAAUAAAAUCUUAUAUAAUGGGAUGGAGGGAGUUUUGUACUACAUCAUUUUUCAAUUGUUGUUUAGCUUCUAAUAUUAACUUGGUGCUUUUAGGUACAUAUAUCAUUGCCAAAGAUCCACACUUCGACCCUUUCUGCGUAUGGGGCAAUGAGAUAUUCAUGAACCAACAUCAAGUGAGGAAACUAAUAAAGAUUGUUAUUAAAAUGGGUCAAAAGAUGUCAAUAGAACUAUUUGUUUACACUUUAUGCAAGACAACAUUGAACUGCAGGAUGGUAAGUAAGAACCAUGUAGCCUUCUUUUUACUGCCUGUAAUGAGUUGUGUUAGAUGACAAUGUCUGAAUCGUUUUUCUUUUGCAGUGCAUCCUGAAGCAGUUUACUCAAGAUUACCUCUCAAACUACAUGAUUGGUGGCCGGCCAUCACAAGGGGUUGGACUAGAGUCCUGCAUGCCUUCUGCAUCCAGGAGAGCACAAUAGGGCCAUUCUGCUUCACCUUGUUCAGCAACCGGAAUGUCUGUCGCCUCUUUCUUUACCAACUGUAAUAGUACAAGUAUAGAACCCUGGUUCGUCAUUCUUUAUUUGGUGCUUAUGUAAUUCUUAAACAUAUGUACCUGUGAAUCGAAUAAUGCAUUGGUUGUUUGAACCUGAUGGAUAUGAAUAAAGCUAUAGCCUACUUUCAAGUUUAAAUUAGGUACAAUUUUAAAUAGCAGCAAUUAAAUGAGGGCGAAAUUACGGUGUGUAGGUCAUUACGGCGCACACGGUUAAUAAAGCACAGCGUGUGCGAUAUACAUCAUAAUUCGACACGGUUCACGGAGAGGAAACGUGUGUAACAAUGGACAGUUGCCAUUUGCAAAGCGUGUGUGAUGUCGGACACUAUCACAUACGGUGCGGGAAAACUAAAUGUGUGUGAUUGUCUACCUAUCGUACACGGUUUAUAAUCAUGAAUUAUUUGUGAUGUGCCAGGCAGCGUAAAACUCCCGUGCCUAGAAUCUGCCUGGAAAACUCCCGUGCCUGGAAUCUGCCUGGUUUUAGGUAAACCCACAAAACUCCGACUGCAAUGGCAAUGCGAGCACAAACGAGUACCAAGGAUGAAGCGUUUGGGAUAUUCAAGAUAUCAGAAAUGGUUAUAUAGGGACAACUGUAUGCAUCAAGGCUCCCUAUCCCCAACAGUUUCUGGGUCGUGUGGGAAGGACCCCUCUAUCGCUAUCACUCACUAGGCGACGGUUCCAAAUGCCAUCGCGGAAAGGGGUUAAAAACCGUUUGUAUAGCACCGACGCGUACCAGUGAUGGAAUUUAAAUCCUUUGACAAAUGAUUCAGUGAGAGUGUGGUGUUGAUUGCACUUAUCUAAAAUGUAGGGACCGAGACUGGCAUUGUGAACAUAUUGUUCAAAUUCCCCCUUAAUGCCCACACGCACCAUAUAGUCGUCACACGGCGACAAGCAUGUUUUGGUGGCGGCAUCUCGUAUGGAACUUUCACUUGGUUCAACAUAAGACCGACGAACGGAACUGUUACUAGAAGAUGCCUCCGAGGAUCUCCUCUUUGAAGACCUCCUUCCAAAGAGGUUCAUCAUAUUCGCGUACAAUUUUCUAAAAAAAAUUGGGUGACAAAAAUUUAUCAACAAAACUUUACAAGAUUGAUAGCAACUACUCAUAGGGAUACAUAGAGGCCAUAGCAAGCAUUCAAACUACUUAGAACUCUAAGAAUUCAACAUGCAACCUCAUCUAUAGCAGCACCAUGAGUAGCUAAUUAUUCAAAAUAUAAACUACUAAAGCAAUAACUAAUUGGACAAACGGAGGAGUCACAUACCAAGCAACAAUCCCCCGAAAUAGUUUCGAAAACGGAGCUUCGAGCAAAGAGAUCGAAAUCCGUGGGUUUGAGAGCAAGAACACGAGGGGGAGAGAGAGCAAUGGUGAAUUUUUUCUGGAGGUAAGUGAUGAUGUGGUGUGAAGGAAUAAGUGAGGGGGACCACAACCCACCAGGGCACGCCAUAUGUAACUAGGGCCAUAUGUAAUAUAUCUGAGGCUACAUAGCAACAUGCACUGUACUUAAUGCCUAAAUAUGCAAUCCUAGGCUACAUGGCAACAAGGAAGAGUGUGGACUGUACUCUGCGGCCUUCUUUUUACUUCCUGUAAUGAGUUGUGUUAGAUGACAAUGUCUGAAUCUUUUUCCUUUGCAGUGGUUGCCAAAGCAGUUUACUCAAGAUUACCUCUCAAACUACAUGAUUGGUGGGCAUGCAAAGGUUAAAGUAUUUCUACCAGAACACGAUGAUUAUCUAGAUGUUUUCAUGAAGACCGUGAAGGAUGGGCAGUCGGCCAUCACAAGGGGUUGGACUAGAGUCAUGCGUGCCUUCUGCAUGGAGGAGGGCACAAUAUGGGCAUUCCGCUUCACCUUAUUCAGCAACCAGAAUGUAUUUCGCCUCUUUCUUUACCGUCUUUAAUAGUACAAGUAUACAACUGUGGUUCAUCAUUCUUUAUUUGGUUCUUAUGUAAUUCUUGAACAUAUGUACCUAUGAAUCGAAUAAUGCAUUGGUUGUUUGAACCUGGUGGAUAUGAAUAAAGCUGUAGCAUACAUUCAAAUUCAAAUCCAGUACAAUUUGAAAUAGCAGCAAUUAAAUUACGGUGAAAUUAUGCUCUCCAGGUUGUUAUGGCACACACGGUUGGUAAAACACAAACGUUUGUGAUAUACACCAUAAUCUGAGAUGGUUCACAGAGAGGAAACAUGUGCAAGCAUGCACAUAGUUGCCGUUUGCAAAGCGUGUGCGAUGUCAGAAAAUAUCAAAAAUGGUGCGGGCAAACUAAACGUUUGGUUUAGUUGCCUUAUCGUACACGAUUCGCAACCAUGAACUGUUUCUGAUGAAGUAUGCAUUGUAAACGUUGCACCACAGAAUAGCGUGUGUGAUAGUUGUCGUGUAUGACGAUGUUACGACGGUCCGACGUUUCGUAAUCCUGUCCGACACUCGUAGGACGAUUAGCUAAUUGUCGUGGAAUUGUCACGUCAGAUGUCCUAGUGUGAGGACCACUGAGUUAAACCAUUUUACAAAGCCUUUUAAGAUGGACCUCACAUUAACCAAUCGUCGUUUUAACUUUGACAAGUUCAAGGUCUGUAUAAGAUUGACUUGCCAAACGUUCGGCGGGUCAUACCAGGAUUACCUGGGUGGAGUGACUUACUUAAAGAAGGCAGGAUAACCCGCGGUUUUAGGUGAAUACACUUGGCUUCCAAGCCUGGCUUGAUAGCCUAUUACAAGGGUAUAGACUCUUUGUUCUUUGAGAAGCAAAGAGCCCCCAAGCAAUAUUUUGAGCUGUGCUCAGUGGGUGCCUAUGUUUGAGUUUGUGCUUUUGCAACACUCUCUUUGGCCCCUAUUAACUUUUUUGAGAACUCGAACUUUGCGAGAGAUAUUCCUUCUUGAACCAGAUGUUAAACCGGAUAUUGAGAGCUUAAAAGCUUUGUGGGAGACAUCUUUCCCUUGAACCUGGUCUUAAAUCGGAAUCUUCAUUUUCAGCCGGACUUUUUCUGACAGCCUUUAAACUCAAACUUGCGAGAUAUUAAUUCUUUUUGAACCGGAAAUUCUUAAACCGGAUUUGAGAGCUUCAGAGCUUUGUGGGAGACAGAUUUCCCUUGAACCGGAUUGUAAACCGGAUAUUUGAGAGCUUCAACGCUUCAUGGGAGAGAGAUAUCUCUUGAACCGGAUUUUGAACCGGAAUCCUUUCUGAUGACCCGGAACUUCUUCAUUGAGCCGGGAUUUUGUUAUUGUCAUAUACUUUUUAAGCCGGGAAUUUUCUGACAGCUUUUAAAUUUCCAUCAAUAUAGUAGUAGCCUCCGGGAUCGGGUUAUCUUUCCCUCCAUCGUCCUGGGGUUCUUAAAUUUGCUGAAACUGGCAAGAUUUGCUGAGUCAUGUCAUCGUAGCCCCCGAGUCUUAAGACGACUUGAGGAGUUGUCUUGAGAUUCUCCGUAGUCUACCAUAGCAGAAGGUGUAUAUUAUUGGUGUUGAUAGCGCGAUAUGAAUCCACAGAAGGUUGAGGUGACUGCGGCGGGUUAUAAAUGAUCUGUAUGAGUCAUGUCAACAACUCGGCCAAUGGUUCCUUCCAACUGGCUAUUUGAAGUUAUCUAAACUGUAGUAGCGGAGACUUGUGCGCCGGCCCAUUGAGCCAUCCAGUGCAGACGGCGGCUGAUAGUAUAUGAUAAUUUGCCUCCAAUCUGUUGAAAGAAAACCAGGCUACCCAAGUUGUGACUUGCGUUAUACUCAAUAAAUAGCUCAUGCAGACAGGUGCGGCCCGGUGUGUUGAUGUAGACCAGGCCGCGAGAGACGGACAGCAAAGACGAACGCGGCUUCAGAGGCAGCACAGAUAGCUGAGUCGGCCGCGGUGUUAUAAGCUGGCGUGGACGGGCGAGUUAGCCACAUCAUGUUGAUGUAGUGAACAAUUGUCCUGCCUCAAAAACAUCACAAGCCAGAGUAAUUGUUCCUUGACAAAAAUAAUAUGCGCUAAUAAAAUAAACCUUAGAUGGAUAUCACCUGAUAUACUAGGCCGGAAAUUAUCCGCCGCGGAGUUGAUGAUCACCAUGGUGAUGCUGAAAUCAAUCAUGGCUAAGUCGGCCGCAGGAGUAGACAGAUGAGUCGGUCGAGGAGAUGCAAGCCGGUGCGGGCGAGCAAGUUGUCCUCCGCGUUGUAAGCCGGUGCGGACGCGUGAACCGGCCGCGAGGGCGGAUGGGCGAGUCGCCCGUGGCGUUGUAAAGCGGUGCGGACGGGCGAGCCAGCCACGGCGUUGUAAGCCGGUGCAGGAGUCCGUUGAGUAAGGACGACCACCCGUGCCAAAUGAUGCUGGCAUGCCUCCAUCUCCGCGGUAUAAUGCCACUUUGUAAUGAAUAAUUCUCCUACAUAUAAAAAAUACCGUAGAGCAGAGUAGUUGUGCUCAGAGUAAUUAAAGUAUACUAAGAAAAUGUAUAGGAGAAAUAACACCUGAUUAUUUUUUGGACGCAUGCGGGCGUGGCCAUUAGAGUGUAGCUGGUCUCCACAUAUGUGUAUUCCAUCCAAUUUACGCAAACUGAUCUCCAAAGAAAAUCAGCCCAAUACGGAGUACCAGCACUAGUCACGUUGGUUUAUUCCUUAGAUCUCUGCGGCCGGAUUAGACAUCAAUCAGCACCAGCCUUUGUCUGCAAGUAGCACUUUGUUUCUUUGAAUUUAAUUAGCCCCCGCUACAAGAAACAGUAGCAGCGGCACUGAUUCCCUCGGGACUUGAAGCUGGCGUUCCGCUGACAAUGGCGGUUUAAAAGCGACGGGUCCAGCGUAGCAGAGUGGAAGCAGCGAACGAGCGGAUCUGGUGAUAGCAGCUGGUGGUUUUAGUGCUGCAGGGCCAGCAAAGCGGCGACUCGGAAGAUCAUUGGAAACGACGCAAUAAAAAACGCCAACAAAAACUCUUGAGCUAAAUAGAUCUGAUUACGUCCGUAGGCAGCGAUUUUGAAUACUCUGAUUCCUUCUUCACGGUUAUUUCUUUUCUUUUCCUUGGGGGAUGAGAUGUGUGCCUUGGUUGAGGUAGUAGCAACAGACACGCACGCACGAUCCUGGUGCUACUGGCUUCCGGCCGAUUCGCCGGUGACCGCCGACCUCGUGCACCAAGGCCACAUGUACUGACGCGGGCCGCCUCCAUCUCUUGAAGGGCCGGGUCAGCAGCAGUGGAGGCGAGCUGAGCCUGGGGACUGUGCUAGGGCGAGAGCGAGGCCAGCCACGGAGGCGGGCGACUCAAGACCGCGGCAACGUGCAGCAGAGGUGGAGGCAAGGCCGGUGCGGUGGCUAGCGAGGUGAAACCGAUUCCAUGUCCCACGUUAAGCCAGCGAGGCAAAACCGAGUCCGUGUCCCACGUCCCCCUUCGGGUCGUGGAUUUCCUUCCCCCUUUUUUUCACGGGCCAGAUUUCACUUUUGUGAAAAAGUAGUACUGCCAGAUGAUGCCUCCUGCCAGGUCAAUCUUGACUUGACGCCCGCUUGACGUAUUUGCUACUGCACAUUGACGUGACUUGCUGAUUGAUUCUUCCGUGGACUAGUACUCCCUCUAGUCUAAUUAAACAACUUCUUCCUUCUCAUGGAAAACAUCAAUGACAAAACCUCUUUUGGUUCUGCCUGCUGCCGCCGCGAUGAAUCUUCUCAGGACUCGCGUGCCCUUGUAAAAUAACGCAACCAUGGAGAUUGACUUUACUUUGGUCUUGGUGGAUUACGUCCGCAGAAAAAAUAACUGUAAAUAUGCAGGAUCACGAGAUUGUGGCAGUGGACAGAUUGCAUCCUUUCGCCUAUCUUUUUUCUUUUUCUUAACUUGAUUGAUGAACUUGAAGACGAUGUGAAUCUUUUUGCGCUGGCUCUUCUUUACCCGGUCAACUGCGCGCUUCUCGAUCCCUGGAGAAAUCCCUUCAAGAACUCAACAUCACCGUGCGCGAGCCCCACGGUGGGCGCCAACUGUCGUGGAAUUGUCACAUCAGAUGUGCUAGUGUGAGGACUUAGUCGUGAGACCAUCGCAUCUAUGUGGUAGCUUGAGAGGAGUUGAGCAGAAUCGAGAAACGCAACACAAGACAAAGGUUUAGACAGCUUCGGGCCCCGGGAAACAUAAUCCGGUAACAACCCUACAUGCUGUUUGUGGCUAGGUCUCAUUAUCAUCACCAGGGAGUCGAUGUAAACCGGCUCUCCUAGUUAUGUCUAGCCCUAAGAUUAUCUCUCUUGCUUGUCCCUCUUUUGGUAGCCCUGCCCCUCCUUAUAUAAGUUGAAGGGGCGGGUUACAUGUGGAGUCCUAUUAGGAUUAGGACUAGUCUACCUUCUAAUACAAACUGGAUACAAGUCCGGGUCUUAAGUCCUUGUAGGUAAAUAUUCCUCACGCCUUUCCUCUUAAACCGGCCCACCAUUAACAUAAAUCGGCCUUCUGGGCCUUGGGCCUUGUCAUCCGUCUGUCCCGCCCGCCGGGUUACUAAUGAACCGCCAAGAUCAGGCGGGUUACCCGUGAGUCGCCAAGCUCCAUCCGGGUCAUACAUCCAGCCGGGUUACACUGCGGGGUAUAUCCCUGACACUAAUCUUCUUAAUAGUGAAAUGUUUGUGAUGGGCCGCGCAUCAUUCACGUUCUCUAAUAGUGAACUGUUUGUGAUGGGCCACGCAUCGUAAACGUAGCACCAUAGAAUACCGACUGCGAUGGCAAUGCAAGCAGAAACGAGUAGGAUUACUAUAGGGUCCCUAUCCCUGACAAAUUCUGGGUCGUGUGGGAAGGACCCCCCUAUCGCCGUCCCUCACUAGGCGACGGUUCUAAAUGUCGUCCCGGAAAGGGGUUAAAACCGUUUGUAUAGCACCGACGCGUACUAGUGAAAGUGCAUUGAAUACUAUGAGAAGUUUGAUUCCUUAUGAUUGUUUUGAGACAUAAAGAUGGUGAUAUUAGAGUCAUGCUAGUGAUUAAUUGUGAAUUGGAGAAUUACUUGUGUUAAGGUUUGUGAUUCCCGUAGCAUGCACGUAUGUUGAACCGUUAUGUAACGAAGUUGGAGUAUGAGGUAUUUUUUGAUUGUCUUCCUUAUGAGUGGCGGUCGGGGACGAGCAGUGGUCUUUUCCUACCAAUCUAUCCCCCUAGGAGCAUGCGCGUAGUACUUCAUUUCAAUAACUAAUAAAUUCUUCCAAUAAGUAUGUGAGUUCUUUAUGACUAAUGUUGAGUCCAUGGAUUAUACGCACUCUCACCUUUUAUUGCUAGCCUCUCUAGUACCGCACAACUUUCGCCGGUACCAUACACCCACCAUAUACCUUCCUCAAAACAGCCACCAUACCUACCUAUUAUGGCAUUUUCAUAGCCAUUCCUAGAUAUAUUGCCAUGCAACUUUCCACCGUUCCGAUUAUUAUGACACGUUCCAGCAUUAUCAUAUUGCUUUGCAUGAUCAUGUAGUUGACAUCGUAUUUGUGGCAAAGCCACCGUUCAUAAUUCUUUCAUACAUAUCACUCUUGAUUCAUUGCACAUCCCGGUACACCGCCGGAGGCAUUCAUAUAGAGUCAUAUUUUGUUCUAAGUAUCGAUUUGUAAUUCUUGAGUUGUAAGCAAAUAAAAGUGUGAUGAUCUUCAUUAUUAGAGCAUUGCCCCAUGUGAGGAAAAAAAGGGCCAAAGAAGGCAACAAAAAAAGAGAGGCCAAAGAAGCCAAACAAAAAAAUGAGAGAAAAGAGGGAAGGGGCAAUGUUACUAUCCUCUUUCCACACUUGUGCUUCAAAGUAGCACCAUGAUAUUCAUGAUAUAGAGUCUCCUAUGUUAUCACUUUCAUAUACGAGUGUGAAUUUUUCAUUAUAGAACUUGGCUUGUAUAUUCCAAUGAUGGGCUUCCUCAAAUUGCCCUAGGUCUUCGUGAGCAAGCAAGUUGGAUGCACACCCACUUAUUUUCUUUUUGAGCUUUCAUAAACUUAUAGCUCUAAUGCAUCCGUUGCAUGGAAAUCCCUACUCACUCACAUUCAUAUCUAUUGAUGGGCAUCUCCAUAGCCCGUUGAUAUGCCUAGUUGAUGUGAGACUAUCUCCUUCUUUUUGUCUUCUCCACAACCACCAUAUUCUAUUCCACCAAUAGUGCUAUGUUCAUGGCGCACGUUCAUGUAUUGCGUGAAAGUUGAAAAAGUUUGAGAACAUCAAAAGUCUGAAACAAUUGCUUGGCUUGUCAUCGGGGUUGUGCACGUUUUGAAUAUUUUGUGUGAUGAAGAUGGAGCAUAGCCAGACUAUAUGAUUUUGUAGGGAUAAGCUUUCUUUGGCCAUGUUAUUUUGAGAACACAUAAUUGCCUUGUUAGUAUGCUUGAAGUAUUAUUGUUUUUAUGUCAAUAUUAAACUUUUGUUUUGAAUAUUAUGGAUCUAAACAUUCAUGCCACAAUAAAAAAUACAUGGAUAAAUAUGUUAGGUAACACUCCACAUCCAAAAUUCUGUUUUUAUCAUUUACCUACUCGAGGACGAGCAGGAAUUAAGCUUGGGGAUGAUUGAUACGUCUCCAAUGUAUCUAUAUUUUUUUAUUGUUCCAUGCUAUUAUAUUAUCUACUUUGGAUGUUUUAUAUGCAUUAAUAUUCUAUUUUAUAUUAUUUUUGGGACUAACCUAUUAACCUAGAGCCCAGUGCUAGUUUCUAUUUUUUCCUUGUUUUUGAGUUUCGCAGAAAAGGAAUACCAAACGGAGUCCAAAUGGAAUAAAACCUUCGCGAUGAUUUUUUUUGGACCAGAAGACACCCCAGAGACUUGGAGAUCAAGUCGGAAGAGCAACGAGGCAGCCACGAGGGGGGAGGGCGCGCCCCCUGCCUUGUGGCCUACUCCAACACCUCCUAACCUAAUUCUCCAGCCUAUAUAUUCACAUAUAUUCCCAAACCACAAGAAGUAUCCACGAAAACACUUUUCCACCGCCACAACCUUCUGUUCCUGUGAGAUCCCAUCGAGGAGCCUUUUCCAGCAUCCUGCCGGAGGGGGAUUGGAUCAUGGAGGGCUUGUACAUCAACUCUAUUGCCCUUCCGAUGAAGCGUGAGUAGUUUACCACAGACCUCCGGUCCAUACCUAGUAGCUAGAUGGCUUCUUCUCUUUCUUUGAUUCUCAAUACCAUGUUCUCCUCGAUGUUCUUGGAGAUCUAUCCGAUGUAAUCUUCUUUUGCGGUGUGUUUGUCGAGAUCCAAAGAAUUGUGGAUUUAUGAUCAGCUUAUCUAUGAAUAUUAUUUGAAUCUUCUCUGAAUUCUUUUAUGCAUGAUUUGGUAUCUUUGUAAUUCUCUUCGAACUAUCGGUUUGGUUUGGCCAACUAGAUUGGGUUUUCUUGCAAUGGGAGAAGUGCUUAGCUUUGGGUUCGAUCUUGCGGUGUCCUUUCCCAGUGACAGUAGGGGUAACAAGCAUGUAUUGUAUUCCUGCCAUCAAGGAUAAAAAGAUGGGGUUUACAUCAUACUGCUUGAGUUUAUUCCUCUACAUCAUGUCAUCUUACUUAAUACGUUACUCUGUUCUUCAUGAACUUAAUACUCUAGAUGCAGGCAGAAGUCGGUCGAUGUGUGGAGUAAUAGUAGUAGAUGCAGAAUCAUUUCGGUCUACUUGACACAUACAUGAUGCCUAUAUUUCAUAAUCAUUGCCUUAGAUAUCAUCAUAACUUUGCCCUUUUCUAUCAAUUGCUUGAUAGUAAUUUGUUCACCUACCGUAUUAUUUGCUAUCUUGAGAGAAGCCUCUAGUGAAACAUAUGGCCCCCGGGUCCACUUUCCAUCAUAUAAGUUUUUGAUCUACUAUUUUGCAAUCUUUUACUUUCUGAUCUAUAAAUCAAAAACCUAAAAAUAUUUACUUUAUUGUUUGUUUAGUUUCAUCUAUCUCUAUCAGAUCCCACUUUUUCAAGUAACCGUGAAGGGAUUAACCACCCCUUUAUCGCGUUGGGUGCAAGUUGUUUGAUUGUUUGUGCAGGUAUUGGUGAUUUGUGCGUUGUCUCCUACUGGAUUGAUACCUUGGUUCUCUAACUGAGGGAAAUACUUAUAUCUACUUUGCUGCAUCACCCUUUCCUCUUCAAGGGAAAAAACCAACGCAAGCUCAAGAAGUAGCAACACCCAGCUCCACUUGGGGAGUUUCCACUAAAAAAGCUCCACAUUAGGAGUAACCACCCUAUAAUGGUGGGACAGCCUAGUUUACGCGAAUUGAGGACGGGAAAUCAGUUCGAGCGACGUUUUGGUUGAUCGAAGAUGAUCUUGAGCGUUGAAGAGGUAGAUCGGACGGUAAAAGGUAUCAAACCGCUAUGAGAGGGCGCAGGUGGUUUGUGUAUACAGGCUCUUAAUACAUGUUAAAAUACAUUGCCUAGUCCUUUUCAUCAGUUCGGACUUUUGAGAAACUUGACGAGCGCAUCUAUUCAAUAUGGUAUCAGAGCUACAAGGUCUCAGGAUCAAAUCCUGGCCAAUGCACUAUUAAUAUAAAAAUAGCUGCGACCUAAUUCGAUCCCACUUCUAUGGUCUUCAUGUAUGUCCACAACAUAGACGUGAUGGGGAGUGUUAAAAAACAUUACCUAGUCCUUUACAUCAGUUUGGACUUUUGAGAAACUUGGCUAGCGCAUCUGUUCAAUAAUACAUAUAUCAGACAUAACAUCCAAAUGACAGGAACAUGGACAAACUUGGAGGAACACAGAUUCGUAGGAUUUUGAUUCGUAGGAUUUUGAAACGUAUGAAUAGAAAAAGUAUAGGAUUGGAGUGGCAUGCCCACUUGAUUCCUAUAGGAUUAGCAAUGAGUGUUUGAUGCUACAGCAAAAACAAAGGAAUUGUAAAAAAGAGGUUGGAGUGGAUGUUAGAUCCUAUGAAAUGUAGUACAAAAUAUUCCAUAGAAAAAUUCCUAUGGGAUUCAAUCCUAUAAAUCAAAGGACCAACAUAGGAAUAUAUCCCAAGGAUUUCAAUCCUCUAGAAAUCCUAUAAAAUUUCUUUGAAUCAAAGGAGCCCUAAGUGUGUAGAUAUUGACACAAGUUUUGAUAAUUCCGAUCCUCUGGUCCAAAUUAAUUCACGCAGAUUCACUGAAUCUAGAUGGAUUUAGACAAAAUAUUGUCUAAAUCUGCGUCAAUUAAUUCGGAAUGGGAGGAAAUAUUUUAUGGUCAAUUGGUUUUAAUGUCCCCGGUGCGAAGAUAUAAAGUCAGUAUUGGCAUUUAUUAAUUACUAUUAGACUAGAAAACAUAUCUACCACCAUUACUGCUCUCGAUUGUGUAUGCAUACAUGGAUUGCAAUCGUUGCAUAAAUCAAUCUUAUGGACGACUAUAGUAUGAGAUAUUAAGUUGCUGAAUUAAUGGGCGAUCCUUCCAUAUGAAGGAUUUUGAUGUCAUGUAUAUAUUUCCUAACAAAUAUCAAAUAUACUAAUUACUAUUGUAAAUAAUUAUUUCUCCUUUCCAAAGUAAUUGACGCAAAUUUGUUAGAUAUGCAUAUAUCUACACACUAAAAUGCGUCUAGAUACAUGCGUAUCUAGAUAAAUGUGUGUCAAUUACGAAUGGGGGGAUAUCAGUUAAUGACUGACGAAAUUUAAUGAUAGAAAGUUCAUCCCAGGCACUAUAAAUAGACAAGGCUGCAGACCUUUUGGCUUACCACACCUUAAGUUAUUCAAUCCAAGCUUUCACAAUGGCCUGCAAGAUGGCAUUAGUCUUGUCUCUAUCGGUGUUAGCAUUCUUCAUCUGCCUUGGUAAUUUAAUUAUCCAUGGUUUUGCGGUUUUAUGAAUAGUUUUACUCUAUAUAUAGUUCUAAUGGGAUGGUUUUGAAAUUUACAUCAGGUACUGCUGAAGCUGGCCCGCAGUGCAUGUACAAGCUUAAUCCUUACUAUCAUAGUAGGUGCGAGACAAAUGAUGACAACGACAAUUGUCGAAGUGCUUGUAAAAAAAUUGAGGCACCAAAGUACAUGGGUGGUAUGUGCCAUGAUGAACAAUGCGUCUGUUAUACCUGUUAAUGAUCAUCGGACUCUUCCACCGCUGGGGCAGCCAUUAAGAUAUAUCCACUUGUGCCUUGGUGGACACCACCAUAGAAAGAUUUGAGCUCCAAGGAAGAUUGUCUUUUUGGUGUAACAGAAUAAAUUGGCAAUGUAUCGAACUAUGAUUUAGCAAGUUUUUUUCCCGAUGAGUUACAUCGAAGAGUU